rnacentral:lncRNA from 1 species
GAGCUUCCUUGGUAAUGGUCCGGCCACUUGGGCCAAUCGCUACAGCUGCAGGAAUGCCUUGAAUUUUGAAUUUCCGACUCAGGAUUUGUUUCCUUCCAUCACCAAAUGGAAGGGCUAACCAAGGCAUUUCUGAAUAGAACUCGUCAAAGGUGGUUUGAUCGCUGUCACUUGAGAUGAAGAUCACCUCAAAUGCAUUGUCUUUUGCUUUAAUUGCGUGGUAUGCUUCAAUUAGCUUGGGUAAAAAGGCACGACAAGGAGGGCACCAUUGAGCUGAGAAGUAAAGAAGAAUGUUCUUUCCAACUAGAUCGGACACUGGGACCUAAUCAAAGAGUAAACCAUUUGAAUGAUAAAAAAAACCUUUGCUAAUGAAUUCAAUUCGUGAUAAUAAGAAAGUUAUUGAAAGUAAUGCAAUAACAACAUGCGAGGUUAGCAUAGAACAAAAAAAAUUACCUUGGAGCCACUUUUGCCAAUCACAAAAUCAUUUUCCCCAUUAACCAAAACUGACUCAAGCGUCUGCGAUUCCAGUUUUGCCUUUUCAAUUGCAGCUAGCUCGUCAAGCUUUUCCGGUGUAAAUGGGUAGGCUUCGAUACCAUGUUCUUCGAUUAGUUCAGCUACAUUUGGGUUCAAAGUCUUCCCAUCUUGGCCAAUUAUAACAAGAUUAGGAAUGGUUCUAAGUUCAAAAUACCGCACUAGCUUCUCGCAGCUCUUGUCCUUCAAUGGCAAUGCCAACCAAGGCAUUGUCUCAAAACUCUCUUUGAAGUCUUCUUCUUCGUCGUCUAGAGAUACUAGGACUACUUCAAAGUUCUCUCCUUUUUCCUUGAGCGUCUUAUACAAUUCCACUAGUUUAGGAGUGAAUUCACCGCACAUCCUAUGAGCAUGGACUGAAAAAUACAAGCCAACCAAUUUUCCUUCAAGGUCCAACACAGGGAUCUGCCAUUACAGAUAGCAAAAAUGUGAAUUAUGGCAUCAUCAAUUCAAUUUCAAAACUAGCUAAUUGAAUGAAGCAUCUACCUUUUUUCCAUCAUUUGAAAUCACAUAAUCACGUGAGCUUGAAACCAAGAUAGAGCUUAUGGUUUGAUUCUUCUUAGCAUUCUCUUCUUGCUCUUUAAGGAAAUUCAGUCUAUCAAGGUUGAACGGAUACCCAUCCACGCCAUGUUCCUUGACAGUGCUGACUCCAUUAUCGCAGGAAACCUUACCAUUAGUAUCAAAAAUGACAAGUCUAGGGAUCCCUCUUACUUUGAACAAUUCCUUAAGACGUUGGCGGGUCUCGGUUUCAGAGAAGGGAAUAGCAAGCCAUGGCAUUUCGGAGAAGUACGUGUUGAAGGAUUCAUCGUCUCCAUCAGAAGAAAUGAAGACCACCUCAAAGCCCCCUUUGGAUGAUAGGUGUUCAUAGACUUCUACCAACAAUGGAGUGAAAUUACGGCAUGGGCCGCACCACGAACCAGAGAAAUAGAAUCCCACAAUCUUCCCAACCAAAUCGCUGACCUUGACCUAAAAAUUAAGAUCAGAAAAAAACAUCAGCCCUUGACGAAUCAAAAUCUUAUUCAUGGUUUCUUUCUCUUGCCAGUGAGAGAAGCAACAAAAAAAAGAGCCUUUUCUUAAUCAUAAAAGCUUCAGAAAUUGGUCAUAAAUUUGUUCUUCAGCAAGGCUUGCAGUCUAAUUUAAACAUGAUAUUCAUCUUAAUUACUAGAAAAACCUACAAGUUCAUAUAAAAAAAGACGUCAACUUAUAAUAAGGCAAGAAGAAGUAGACUUGAAUAAGAUCAGAUCGAGGAACUCAUAUGCUAAAAGCAGUACCUGAUCACCAUUGUUGCGGAUGAGAAAGUCCCUCUCUUCUGAAGAAAGAAGCGUUGAAAGGUCGAGGGAAACGUCUUCGGUGGCCAUAGUUAGCUAUGUGAUGAACUACUCAAAAGGCUAGAACAAUUGCCAAUCCCAGUUGCUAUGUAAUGGAACUUCCAGGCUAAGGCUCCUUUAAAUUACCUACACGCCCGGCCUAGGAAAUUAUUGUUCUAAUAAUUCAACGACGACUUCAAGACUUGGCUGGCGUCGGGUGAUGACGAAGACAUUAUGACGUAGGUCUGCUGAAGUGGUAUUCGCAUUAUCACGUGCUUCUACAACUCUCCUCUUGCUUUUUUUUUUUAAUCUCCUUUUUUUGUUUUUGUUUGUAUUCUAGUUUUAUCCAUGGUUUAAUAAUUUUUUUUGUGAGUUUGUUAUUAAAUGUAUUUUGUGUUUUAUCUUUUUAAUAAAAUCUUUAUAUUUCUUGAUACAAAAAAAUCCUUAAUUGGUUUUUUUAAUUAAAAAAUUAUUCUCUUUUGUUUUUGAUGCAUUUGAAAAUGAAUUUUUCUAUCAAUUUUUUUUCUAAUAUAAAUCAAUAAUCAUAUGUAAAGCAUAGUUGAAAUGAAUGAACGAACAAACAAACUAUAUACAUGACAUCUUACAUAGGAAGCUUAGGAAAGGAUGAAGGCCAAGAAUAAUGUAAAAUAAAACCUAUGCCUCCACUACCAAUAAUGUAAAAAUAAUUAUUGAGAAAAAUAAAUCAUAAAAAUAUACUUCCAGCUCUAGUCAUCCAAAGCUUCUUAAGUCUCAGAAAAAAAAAACAUUUAACACAAACCUCAAUAAAAUUCAAAUGCUAAUUAAAUUCAGAUUUUUGUAACGUAGUCUAUUUUCUAUCAAAUGUGACUUGAUAAUAAUCACAUGCAAUUUAAUAGACAGGCUAAAAUCCAAACUUGAUAUAGUUCUUGGGUUAUAAUAGAGUUUUUCAAUAAUAAAACUCUUAACUUUUUUUUUAUUUUAAAAAUAAUGAUAUUGCAUAUAUUUAAUAAUUAUAAAUAAAAUUAUAUUGUGUAUUUGAGCCACGUCAGGACUCUAUUUCAAUAAAGAGACCCUAUUUUUCCAGGGGAGAAAGAAAGAGUUUUUAAAUGCAAUACUUUGUCAUAAGUCGUGACUUUUCCACACUCAAAAGGGCACCAUACAUAUAUGUCAUUAUACUUUAUCUCCAAACGUAAUUAAAUUAGUCAAUUAAUUGUAAGUGAGGGAAGUUAAUGAAUUUCCACUCUAAAAUGUUCAAAUUCAUUAUCCGUUUUCAACUUUAUCCUGAUUAAAUCAGGUUAAGUAGAUUACUUUCUUCAUUCGUGGGUAUCCAUCAGAUAUCCUAAUCUAUUUUUUAAUUAAUUUUAUAAAAAUCAAACCUAAACUAAAAAAACAAAAUAAUGCUUUAUUUAUGAAUCAUAAAACUAUGAAAUUAAAUUAAAUAUAAAACCAAGAGAUCUGGUUAGUUUAGUGUUGUUGCAAUGUGAAUAAAAACUCAAAAUAUCACGGAUUGAAAUAGUGUUCUAGUUAUUUUUUGAAAUUUUUUUCAUUAUAGUUACCAAACACUUUUUAAAAUUUCUUUUAUCUUUGACAUUUCAUUAAUAGAGAAUUUGGACUUAUUGGUUGGUUUUGAUUGGUUUUCUAUAAUUUUUUUUUUGAAAAAUUAAAUGUCAUUAUAUUAGAGUGAUGUUCGAUUUUACAAAAUAGAAUCCUAUUUUAUUGCAUACAAAAAUUUAAGACUUAGGGGGGCCAAAAUUGAUAGUUAGCAAUGUUAAAGAAUCAUCUUAACCCAAUAGCUUAAGUUUUCAAGUGACGUUCCAAGAUAUGAUUUAUACUAUUCUCUAACACAUCCCCUCAAGUAAAAGCUCUUUGGUCUUGAAAUUUGCACAGACUCACAUUAUUUUGUGCUUAAUUUUUAUCAAAUAAAUAGGGAUGGUGAGAUUCGAACUCGUGACCGCUUGGUUAUCAAGGCUCUGAUACCAUGUCAAAGAACCUUCUCAACCCAAUAGCUUAAGCUUUCAUGUGAGGUCCCAGAAUAUAAUUUAUAUUAUUCUCUAACAAGUAAGAAUUUAAGGUUUUUUUAUUUGAUAAAUGUUCAUUUCACAUCAUUUUACUUUGAAAAAUUUAUAUUUUGAUCCAAAACUCUAUUUUAAUCACAUUUCAGACUAUGAGUUUUAGAAAAAAGAUAAAAAUUCAUUAAAAAUAGCGAAAGAGAGAGAAACACAUACACUGACAAGGUUUUGUUUGUGAAAAUAGCUUAAAUGUGUGUCAAUGUGUUAUUCUUGACAAAAAGAGUGCUACUAUAAUGUUUUUAAGCUUUAUAUUGUCAAAAAAGAUAAAUCGAGGUUGAGAGAAUUAUUUUUAAGUUAAACUUUGUGUUUUAAAAUUAUUUUAGAGUUUCUUUUUAGUUGAUGGAUUAGUUUAGAGACAAUUUAAAAGUAUUUAUAAGAUGUUUUUAAAUAAAAAUAUAUUAAAAAAUAGAAUUUUAAAUAAAAAACUCCAACCCAAUUCUUUAACCACUUCUCUAUUAUAAAAAAAAUAUAAAGCAAAUGAUGUGACAAAAAAAUAAAUCAAGCAAAUGAUUGUCAUUUGUUUUAUUAAAAAAAAAAAUAAAGGACAAAUACUAUGUCAUCCAUCAAAGAUAAAAUAAAAUGGCUCUUUCAUCUUUUGGAUAAGCAUGCCGAGUCACUUGGCCCCACAAACAUGGCUUGUUUCUAGCUUCUUUUUUUUUUUUUAUGAAUCUUUAUCCUUGAAUUUUAAUUUUAUUUCAUUAAAAUUAAUUAUUUAAAAACACAUAAGGAUAUUAUUUUAGUAAAUACUUGAAUUAUUAAGAAUAUAUACGAAAUAUUAUUUUAUUAGAUAUCAUUUAAUUUUUAUUUUAUUUUAAAAUAAAAUUAUAAUAUUCAUUAUAUAAUAUUAGUAAGAGAUGUUUUUUGGACAACCUAUCAUGAUAUUCCUUAUCUUUGCACAUUCGGUGUCAGAGACUAUAAUAAUAGAUUCCAUGGAAAACAUUAAGGGUAAGAUUCAAUUAUUAAAUGAUAAUCGACUAAAAUAGUGUUUGGAGCCGAUCUGUAUUUUUUAAAAAUUCAAAAUUAUUUUUAUUAAAAAUUAAUUUUUUUUUAUAUUUUGGAUCGUUUUGAUGAGCUGAUUUCAAAAAUAAUUUAAAAAAAUAUCAUUUUGAUGCAUUUCAGAAUAAAAAAUACUUUGAAAAGCAAUCGUCACCAUACUCCCAAACAAGAAUUAAGAACAUGUUUAAAAAUGUAGUAGAUGAUGAGUUUUAAAAUAUUUUUUACUCGAAAAUAUAUUAAAAAAUAUAUAUAUUUUUUAAUUUUUUAAAAUUUAUUUUUAACAUCAAUACAUUAAGACAAUUCAAAAACACUAUAAAAAAAAAUAAAUUUUAAACAAAUAAUACUUUGCCCCAUUUAACUAUAAACAAAAUCAUCGUAUUCUUAAUCUAUUUGUCACAUCAUGAAACAUGAUGAUCAUUAACUGGCAAACACAACACCAACACCAUUACGUAGAAAUCAAGUAUGAAGGGCUCGUAAAUCUAGUCGAUAUAUGUAUAAAUUAGCCCGAACAUUCACAUUAAUAAAAACAAAAAAUCAUGUGUGACACUUAAAAUUUAUCAUAACAAAUUGAUCAAAUUAUAAAGUAAUCCCUAUAUUUUUAAGAAAUUAAUAGCUCACUCCCUUUUUUUAAAAUAAGCCAUAUUUUACCUCCAUGUUAUCAUUUCCAUUUACUGUAACUUAGUUCUUCCUUUAGUUUUACAUUAUAAAAGUGCUAAACCAUUACUUUAGGUAUUAGUGAAAAAAAAAAAAAAGUAUCUAUUAACGGAUUGACGGUCAAAGCUUCUCAAUUGAGUAACUUUUUGGUUUUUAAAAACAGAAGGACUAACAUAUUGGUUUAUUGAGAAUAUGAGGAUUCAAUUAUAAUUUACUUCAGGAAACAAAUAUGAUGCUAUUGACAUCCCCACAAGUGAACUGGCACAAUUAUUGUUUAUAUAAAAUUUCAAAAUUAUUUAUUCUUAAUUUUAACAUUUUAUUUUUAAAAUUUUAUUGUAAUGAAGUGACAGAGUAUGCUAAGAGUAUACCAAAAUAAAACACUGUUGUUUUAAUAUAAAAAUUAAUUUACAGGUUGACUGGAUAGCCUUAUAACCUAGAUGUUUUUCGAAGUUAGUUUUGAAUGAAUGGAGUGUUAUUAGUUAGUUCAGCGUGAUAAUUGGACUGAAAAUCUUUCGUUCUAAAUUAUCAACCAUUCAGAAUUGUUUUGUGCGUGAGGAUGCCAAAUUACCAAAACUAAACCCUAUUUAUAAUCCAUCACCUAUCAAUAGUGAUGUAAGAGUUCCAGCUUGUUUUCUGCAGCUGUGCCAAAACCUGGAGGGUCUAUACUAGCCCAGCAGUCCUUCCCCCGUCGUAAGGUAAGAGCCCAGCACCAGCAGUGUCCUUCCUCCGUCGUAGAGGGGUCCAUACACGAGAUGGCCAGAGAUAGUCAGUGAUUUCGAAAUAUUCCUUUUCAGACUGCAACAAUUGAUAAGGUUUUGUGGCUGUCAUGGCGAAGGCAAAUUAAAGCACAUGAGAUUCAGUGGUGAGAAGCUAUGGAAAGUGGCAAAAAGAAACAGCGAGAACAUGAAACACGCAUUUGAACAUGAAAAAGUAAAUAAGCUGAACAUAAUUAAUGGGCCAUAGAAGCGAAGGUUUUUUCAAUGGCUUCAAACUUUUUGGCAGCGUGCUUGAUUGUUGUCGCCGAAUUUCUUGGCAGUGUGCUUGCUUGAAUUGCGGAUGUAUCACAUGGAUGAUAUUUUCGUUCUUUUGAGGCAUCAAAUAAUAUGGUGUCACGAGAAUUAAGCAAAUAGAAAAGCAUUAAAUUUACGGAAAUCUUUUCCUGUGGUCUUGGUGUAGUUGUUGGCUUUGCUAGCUUCUCCAAGCUCACCACUAAUCCUAUCUGUCCUUUGCGUCCCAUGAACUGAUACAAGCAAUAGCCUGCCCGUGAUUCUGGUUUAAUUGAUUGCAGACAUGUUCAUCAACAAACGCAGGUGUCCGCCCUCCAAAUAACUGCCAUGAACCCAGUUUCCACCUGCUGGGAUUUCAUUUGUCUUUCUUAGUUCUGAGUUCGAAUUAAUGCUGCUUUCUUGAUUCUGAAAUCCGCCUCAACAAGUUAUUUGAGAAGGCAAAGAGGGGGGAAAAUGACUAUCCAGUUGCUUGGAUUGGAAAUUCUAGUUUCUUUUACGGUGGAGUUACAAUGGUUUCAUUGUAUAAUGCUGGUUAAGUCACAAUCAGCCCAGUUUUUGUAUUUAAUCAGCAUUACAAUUACAGGAAUAUUUGCUCAAAUGGGUCACAGGAUUCACAAAAACACAGAGAGCUGUUUAUUUAUUUUUCGUAUCCAAAUACAGGACAUGAAAACCCUUUCAGCCUCACACUUCUUAGAUACAUAACGACAUCAGGAGAGACAUCCCCACUAUAUUCACACACAUGCAACAAACAUCUUCCAUUGCAUACUCACUACAGCAGAAAGCCCAUAAAACCAGACACAAGCAGCGCUUGCCUGCUUAAGCUCUGCGGCACACAUCUCCAUCGCAGACCCAUCCUUCCUUUCCCUUUUCAGUUCCAGUAUCUUCAUCUUCCUUCAAAGCACACUUAGGGUGAAGAUCAAAGUCACAUUGUUUGCAAUAGAAAGACCACCUAUAUCCCGUUUCCCCACAGCCAUCGCAACCGUAUGCACUGCGUUUAGUACGUAUCAGCUCAUGCUCAGUAUGAAGUUCGUGUUUCACUUUCUCUGGCCACCCCUUUGCCUUUUCCUCAAGCUCCUCCUCCAAUUGCUUUAGAUGUUCCUCGGUAAAUGGAAAAGCAUCUGCCCCGUAAGCUGUCAAGUGCAUCCGAGCUUCCUUGGUAAUGGUCCGGCCACUUGGGCCAAUCGCUACAGCUGCAGGAAUGCCUUGAAUUUUGAAUUUCCGACUCAGGAUUUGUUUCCUUCCAUCACCAAAUGGAAGGGCUAACCAAGGCAUUUCUGAAUAGAACUCGUCAAAGGUGGAUUGAUCUCUGUCGCUUGAGAUGAAGAUCACCUCAAAUGCAUUGUCUUUUCUUUUAAUUGUGUGGUAUGCUUCAAUUAGCUUGGGUAAAAAGGCACGACAUGGAGGGCACCAUUGAGCUGAGAAGUAAAGAAGAAUGUUCUUUCCAACUAGUUCAGACACUGGGACCUAAUCAAGAGCAAACCAUUUGUAUAAUAUAAAAAACCUUAGCUAAUGAAUUCAAUUCGUGAUAAUAAGAAAGUUAUUGAAAGUAAUGCAAUAACAACAUGCGAGGUUAGCAUAGAACAAAAAACAUUACCUUGGAGCCACUUUUGUCAAUCACAAAAUCAUUUUCCCCAUUAACCAAAACUGACUCAAGCGUCUGCGAUUCCAGUUUUGCCUUUUCAAUUGCAGCUAGCUCGUCAAGCUUUUCCGGUGUAAAUGGGUAGGCUUCAAUACCAUGUUCUUCGAUUAGUUCAGCUACAUAUGGGUUCAAAGUCUUCCCAUCUUGGCCAAUUAUGACAAGAUUAGGAAUGGUUCUAAGUUCAAAAUACCGCACUAGCUUCUCGCAGCUCUUGUCCUUAAAAGGCAAUGCCAACCAAGGCAUUGUCUCAAAACUCUCUUUGAAGUCUUCUUCUUCGUCGUCUAGAGAUAUUAGGACUACUUCGAAGUUCUCUCCUUUUUCCUUGAGCGUCUUAUACAGUUCCACUAGUUUAGGAGUGAAUUCACGGCACAUCCUAUGAGCAUGGGCUGAAAAAUACAAGCCAACCAAUUUUCCUUCAAGGUCCAACACAGGGAUCUGCCAUUACAGAUAGCAAAAAUGUGAAUUAUGGCAUCAUCAAUUCAAUUUCAAAACUAGCUAAUUGAAUGAAACAUCUACCUUUUUUCCAUCAUUUGAAAUCACAUAAUCACGUGAGCUGGAAACCAAGAUAGAGCUUAUGGUUUGAUUCUUCUUAGCAUUCUCUUCUUGCUCUUUCAGGAAAUUCAGUCUAUCAAGGUUGAACGGAUACCCAUCCACGCCAUGUUCCUUGACAUGUCUAACUCCAUUAUCGGAGGAAACCUUACCAUUAGUAUCAAAAAUGACAAGCCUAGGGAUCCCUCUUACUUUGAACACUUCCUUAAGACGUUGGCGGGUCUCCGUAUCAGAGAAGGGAAUAGCAAGCCAAGGCAUUUCGGAGAAGUAUGUAUUGAAGGAUUCAUCGUCUCCGUCAGAAGAAAUGAAGACCACCUCAAAUCCCCCUUUGGAUGAUAGUUGUUCAUAGACUUCUACCAACAGUGGAGUGAAAUUACGGCAUGGGCCGCACCACGAACCAGAGAAAUAGAAUCCCACAAUCUUCCCAACCAAAUUACUGACCUUAACCUAAAAAUUAGUGUCGAGCAUAAUCAGAAAAAAAACAUUAGCCCAUAAAUUAAGAGGGUAAACAAAAACUGAGGCUUUUCUUAAUCAUAAAAGCUCUAGAAAUUGGUCAUAAACUUGUUCUUCAGCAAGGGUCGCACUCUAAUUUAAACAUGAUAUCCAUCUUAAUUACGAGAAAAAGUUUAAUAAGACAAGUAGAAGUAGAUCGCAUAAGACCAGAGAAAUCCAUAAGCUAAAAGCAGUACCUGGUCACCAUUGUUGCGGAUGAGAAAGUCCCUCUCUUCCGACGAAAGAAGGGAUGAAAGGUCGUGCGAAACGUCUUCGUUGGCCAUUGUUAAGUGAUGAACUACUCAAAAUGCUAUAACAAUUGCCGAUUCCAAACGCUAUUUAUUGGGACAAACUGGGAUGGUUCCUUCUAAGUUACUUGCACAGCACGCCGAGUGAACUAUCAGACGUCAACGAUGACAUGUAAAUUUGGAUGGUGAUGACAAAAACAUCAUUCUCCUUAUCUAAAUACCAGCAGGUUCGAGAAACUGGUAUUAAACAUGCUUUCCCACGUGCAACACACCUCCUCUGGCUUUUUUUAUUUAAAAAGAAAAAGAAAAAGAAAAAGAAAAAGAAAAAGAAAAAACAUAUAUUUUUUUUAAUUUCUCUCUCUUUUAUUUUUUUAGUCACUCUUCACUUUUUACCUUUUUUUUUUUUUUCAAGAAUCUGAAUUCUAGGUUUCUUCUUUAAUUAUAAAAAACCUCUUAUGAUUUGAUUAUGUGAAAUUAUACUUUAUAUUUUUUAUCAAAUAAAUUUUUUUAAAUUGAUAAAAUAUCCAAAUUGUCUUUAUCUAUAAUAUAUGAGAAAAUCAAUUGAAUAAUAGAUCAUAUACUCACACUCUCUUUCUUGUCCUACUUUCUCUCUCUACAAAUCAUAUUCUCUCCCUUCUUUGACAACUAUUAUCAUAAUUUGUUUAAUCGGUCUGUUUUUUGUUCUCGUUUUGUGGGGAGUUCCUUCCUUUUCAUGUUUAGAACUCGACGAAGUUGGAAUCUUUUUCAUUGUUGUUAGUCCAAAGAUCACUAUUACAUAUGGUUUUAGUAAUUUUAAUGAUCACAACAAUUUAGUGAAUUUAAUAUGUAUAUGAAGAUUUGAUAUUAUAAGGAUUUUUCUACUAUGUCAAAUUAGAGCAAAAUAGAUUCUUUGGAUGUAAACUUAACUUUGGAUGCCUAAACUUAGAGUUAUGUAAUCAAGUCUUUACAUAAUUUAAUUUUUCACACAAAAAUGAUUUUUAUCCAAAAAGAUUCUUUAUUAUUGAAUUUUUACAUAUUGAAAAAUAGUUUACGAGAAAAUCUUUCAUAAAAUAUUUCAGAUUGUUACUAAAUUUUUUUUAGAAUGAAAAGUAUAAACUUAAUUAAAUGAUUUCUUGUGUUUUGAUCACACUAAACAUUUCUUGUUCAUUUUCAACUAAGUGGGUAGCUAAGUGAGUUGUGACUUUUCCAUACUCAAAAGUGCAUAAUACAACUAUGUCAUUCUACUUUGCUAAACACACCAAGCAUGUUUAAAUUUCUCAUUUAGCAAUAAUCAAUGGAAGGUAAUAAAAUAAGUUGGAUUUGAGUUUUACUUAAUUGUUCCAUCUAAAACAUCCAAAUUCAUUAUCCAACUCUGACCUAAUUAAAUUAGGUUAAAUCGGGGAUGAAAAAGUUUUUUUUUCAAGUUAAAUUUUAUGUUUUAAAACCAGUUUAGGAGUUUUUUGAGUUGACAGUAGGGGUUUUUUUUUGUUCGGUUUGGUUUUGGGAAAAAAAAAGAUAACUUCAUUGAAAUUUACUUUUUUAAGGUUUUCAACCCGAAAUCAGUUCAAAGCUAUCGGGUGCGGCUUGGUUCAGUCUUUUUUGUUUCAAAACUUGUUCAGAUCGACAUUAUUUCAAUUGAGAGUUUUUAUAAGCCUCGCUUUUUAGGUUUUUAUUACAAUGGAUCCAAGUUAUUUUUACUAUUUUUGGGUUUUUCAAGAUUUGUUUUGAAUUUUUUCAUAAAAGGUUUGAGUUGUUUUAUUACAAAGGCUUUUCAUGCCUAUAAAUAAUUAUAUGAAUUUUUACUUCAAUAUAAACAUACAUAGUUGAUGCGAAUUCGGAGAGUAAAACCCCUUGAACCCUCACACAAGAAAAAAAAUCCAAGAAAGCUAAAAUCAAGUUGAAAAGAACCCAACCUAGUGGUUAUCUAAACUAAAGAAUCAUAGUUAUUGGAUGAAAAAACUUAACCCAAUAAUUAUAAUGAACCACUAACUAAAGGUAUAAGGAUGAAACCCCAACCCGUUAAAUAUUGUAAUAAAUAACGAACUAAGAACUAUAGGUGUAAGGAUGGAUAUCAUAAAGAGAGUUGAUCUUUGAUAAGUUUUUUAAAAAGUUCCAUGAGGAACCAAGAGUAUAAGUAAACUCUUUCACACACAAUAAUAUUCUGAAUAAUCAAUCCGUCUCAAAUUAUUAAAAAAAACUAAAUAUAAGUUAAAUAACCAUAUUUAUACUAGGUAAAAUAAAAAAUGCUAAAAAAAUAACAAAAGAGUUCUAAAUGAAAUAGAAGAAAGAAUUCUAAAUUAAUUGAGAAACUAAUGCAAUUCUUGUAUAGUAGCUUUUGAUCUUUAUCGUAAGGCCUUAUCAAUAUUUAAUUGCUAUUAUAUUUCAACUCCAUAUAAAACAAGGAUUUUAGAAUCAUUAAGAAAAUUUGAAGCCCAAUCCACAUGUAAGCAGGAAAAUAAGUUGAAUCCGUAAGUCCUAUAGAAAAUAAAACUCAAAUAUCUUGAAAUAAUCACUAAAUAUUUCUUUAACCUUCUUAGCUCAUAACCUGGCACAUGUAAUUAAUCAUAUGGUAUUGCUUGAUGGUUUUAACAACAAUGCUUCAAUUCAUCCAAAUUAAUAACAAAAAAAGUAAAUGAAAUCUAAAAAGCUACUCUCCAUGAAAAGAUGACAAAAAAAGCUUUCAUCAAAAUCUUAACCAUCUCAUAAUUAUCACUCAUAAAUUAUCACAACAAGUAGCUCCCUAGUUUUCAAUAUUCGUAAUUAAUGAGUCAAUAUUCGUAAUUAUCACUCAUAAAUUAUCACUCAUGGUUUAUAAGGUGUUUUAUAGGUGUUUUGGGUCAAAACAGGUUUUUAGGUCAAAUGAGCAUAAACUCUGAUUUUCCGACAACCACAAUGGCUAGAACCUGGGCAAAACAGGUGUACAUGACUGUCACACCCAAGAGCAUUAAUUGGGUUUGGCAGUCAUGCCAAAUCCAAGGCACUUGGGGCAAGCAGUCAUAAAAGACUUAAGCGUCUUGGGUCAGGCAAGGAUUGAGUCUGACAGCGUUACCCUUGGGUCUGACAUGGUUGCCUGCCUAAGCACCUUGGGUCAGGCAUGGAUUGAGUGUGGCAGGCAAGCCAGACCCAAUCCAUGGGUUUGGUAUGGUUGCCAUCAUAGUUAUCAGACUCGGCUUGACCCUGCAGGUCAACUCAGGACCCGGGUGACCUAGGGCCUUAGCUAGGUAUAUUUCAUUUAAAAUUCAGGCCUGCAAUUGACCUAGAUAAAACCGGUCAUCUUGUCGGAUUAACCCAGAACUCGGGUGACCCAGUAAAACCCGGUAAAGACCUGUUUUUUUUUUUUCAAAUAUAUUUUUUCUCUUAGCCAGAGACCCAUUUUUUUUUAUAUUUUUUAGUUGUUUAUAACUCAUUUCAAAGUUCACUAUAUAAAUACUAGAAGAAUGUUUUUAUUUUUUCAAAGUAAGUUUUGAAGCCCUUUAGUAUAUAUAUUCUAUGUUCACAAUAAAAGGUUAUGUUUUUUCAAUGUGGGAUAAAAAACCUUUUUGAUUUAAAUAUUUCAACUUAAAAUAAUAUGAUAGUAUCUUGCAAAUGUGGGAUAAAAAACCUUUUAAAAUAACAUUUUAAACUUAAUUAUUUACAACAUGUAUAACCCAUAUCCACAUAGAUUAUUUCUUAAUUUUUUUCAUAUGAAAUAUUAAAACCUCAAAUAUUAUUUUAAAAUUUUUCUAAAUUGACCCGAGUCAGCCCGUGUAACCUGGGUCUCGGCUCCUGGGCCGGGUCAACCCUUGGGCCGAGUUUGAUAAUUAUGGAUGCAAUAAAAAUAUAACUUCAAAGAAUACAAUUAAAAAAAAAUAAAGUGACGUGACCGGUUAAAAAAAUAAAAACUGAAAAAAUGCAUAGAACCUCUUUUUUUUUUUUUGUUCAAGGAGCCUCUUUUAAAUAAUAUUGAUUUUUUUGUUACGUGUUUAAUUUUCGGAAUAGUUUUUUUGGUUCAUCUAUAGUUUUGUUUUUAUUUUUUAUAUAGAUAAACUGUGUUUUUGAAAAUAAAAAAUGUUUAUUUUUAGAUGAUAUUUUUAAUAUGAGUAGUUUUACAUGUUAUUUUUUUUAAAAAAAUUAUUCAAUUAAUUUAAUGUCUUAUUUUUCAAGAUUCAAUAUAUUGAUCUACAUUUGUCUCUCGGUUUUCUAAGUUUUGUUUUAAGAUGUCAUUAAUGAUUUUUUAUUGAUUUAUUAGCGCACGUAAUUCUUAGUUUAUUUGAUUACUUGUGUGCAUCAACUUUUUGAUUUAUUAUAUUUUUUGAAGUAUCAAAAUGCAUUGAAAAAACCUGCAUAAAUAAUGUUUUAUGAAAAAUAAAAAUAUCUAACUUGCAGUGAAGCACAUGACACGUAGCUAGCAAGUUCUAUAAAAUGAGUUAGCAAAGUAGAAAACAAACUUGUAAUAGAUUUGUGCACAUUGCCAUUUCACCAUAAGUUACAUUAGCUCUCAAAACUUUUACAUUAGCUCUCAAAACUUUUACAUUGAAACUUAUAAUACUAGAACUAACAAAACAUACUAGCAGAAAUAUAGUAAGCUUGCAACAAAAUAAGAAUCAAGACAUCAAAUUUCCUUUGUGCCUUUGAAACAUAAAAUGUAAAUUAUUAGGGCACAAUUAAUAAUAACUUAUAGGAAAUAAUUAAUCUACAUCAAAUAUGCUAAAUAACAUAAAUCAACUUUGUCAAACAUAAUUAUUGUGAACAUUGAUUUUUUUUUUAGCCCUGUUUGUUUCAUGAAAAAUGGUUUUUUAGAAAUUAUUUUCCAAACUUUUCUGUGUUUGUUUGUCAUUAGAAAAAUUGAUCAACGAAAAACACUUUACAAUAAAAGAAAAAUUUAGCUUGGUUUCUAGGAAAUUAUUUUCCUUUUAUUUUAGGUGGAAAAUACUUUUUAGAAGUUGUGAAAAUUUAGAAAUGUCUUGUUAUAUGCUGAUUAUAUCAAAUUUGAUCCUCAAACUUUUAAUUGUUAUAUAUUUUGUUUUGAUUUUUUUCUUUCAAUUUCAACCCUUAGAAUUUGAUUUAAUUUGAUUUUUAUAUCAAUCUUGGUCUUUAUUUUUAUAAUUGUUAUUUGCUUUUCUCUUAUCAUUUUUAAUUGAAAUUUUUUUAUCUAUCAAAUCUGGUCCUCAUUCUUUUGAUUGUUAUUUACUUUAUUUGAAAUAAUUUUUAAAAUUGUAAUUUUUUUUAAUUUCAUCCUCUUUCAACUUUUUUAUUUGUUAGAUUUGAUCUCUAUUAUUUUUAUUGUUAUUUAUUUUAUUUGAGAUAUUUUAUGAAAUUAGAUUUUUUUUUAAUUUUAUUAUCAUUCAACUUUUUAAUUUGUAAGAUUUGUUCCUUAUUAUUUUAAUAAACUUGAAAAAAAAUUAACAAUUUAUUUUUCAGUUUAUUUUUUAUGACAUAGUCAAAUACUUAAAAAUAUUUUUUAAUAUAUUUUUUAUGAUAUUAUCAAAUAUCAAAAUAUAAUUUACUUUUUAAAAAUUUAAUUUUCAAGAAAAUUACCUUUUUUAAAAAAUAUAUGUUUUUAGCAAACAAAAGGGUUAAUGUUAAUUUUUUUAUAUAUGACAUGGGGUAGAGUGCAAGCCAGCUAGCCGGAUAGUCUUUGGUGGAUAUUCUUUAGGACUUGGAGGGAAUAAACACAAAAGGUACGAUUUUUUUUAGAUGGAAAUCUGAGCUUUAUUGACCAUAUAUGUCUUGCCAGGUGGCUUCUUGUCUUUCCUUAACUGUCAUGUCUCAUUUGAUAAUUAGGAAUUCCUGGCAGGGCUGCUUUAUUUUAUUGUUAUAUUAGUUUGGUUUUGUGUUUUUUUAAUGAAGUUGGUGGGUCCAGAAACACUCAUUUGGAUUUUAUAUAUAUAUAUAUAUAUAUAUAUAUAUAUAUAUAUAUAUAUAUAUAUAUAUAUAUAUAUAUAUAAUUAACUAUAAACUUGCACAAUUAUUUUACUAUAUAUUAAAACAUUUGAAAAAAACACGGUAGAAAUACUAUAGAUUUACUGUAAACAAAGACACAUUGCCCUGUGGAAGAAACUGUGUCAUAGAGUAUUUGCACUGUGGACAACACUGUUGUACCAUGGGGCAUUCCUUUCCUUUGUUUUUAGUCAAUAAUUACGGGUGGGGGUGUGACCUUCUCUACCAAAAGCCGCUGGGUUUGACUUUGGUAGCCGGACCCAACGCUGUUGUGUUUGGUUGACAAGUUAGACCUAAAACACUUCCAAAACAUGCCAAUAAUGUUGAGUCCUGCAUUCCAGCCAAACCCAACAGAGUAUUUGACUGUGAACACAUAAUGUUCGACUGUGGACGACACUGUAGCGCCUGUGGGGGGGCGUUGUCUUUUCUGUUUGUAAGUCAGAAAGGCUUGCUGGGUCGUUGCAGCAGGACCUAAUAGCUUUGGGUCCUGCUUCCACUAGGACCUAAUGGCGUUGGGUCUUGCUGGAACCAUUAGAGUUGGGUCCUGCCUCAAUAGGACCCAUGACUAUAAUUUUUUCCCUUUUUCAUACGGGUAUGGCUGCGUAGCCAGACCCAGCAGCCAUACCCAAUUAAAUUUCUUGGCCGUUGUCUUCUUUGAUUUAAAUUUAUUUUUCAAAAUAAAUUGAUUGUACUGUGGACAACACUAUAGCAUUUUCCCAGAUCAAUCCUAGCUUUAUCAUCUACACACGCACGCACAUGCACUUUUUUCCUUUUUUGACAAGGAAUUAAAGUUAAUCAAUGCAAGAAAGUAGUAAGAUCACUGACAUCGGCAUAGGAAGAUUGUAAAAAAAAAAUUGAUUUCCUUCGGUGGAUGGAUUGGGAAUCCAUAUUAUCACGUACGUGAGAAUUCAAUCCCCCAUGCCUCUCUAUGCCUAUGUACAUCGUAAAUAUAUACAUUUUCUUCACUAUAGUAUAACACCACCAUUGAAUAUAAUGGAAGACCAUUGAUCAAUAAGGACGACUGGCUUCCAGACCUGGAGCCAUACCUAAUUAAAUUUCUUUGUUGUUGCCUUCUUUGACUUAAAUUUAUUUCUCAAAAUAAAUUGAUGAAUUUUUUUUUAUAUUGUAUAAAAGUUAGGUGAUGAUAAUUUUUUUCCCCAUUUCAGAUUGGGUUGAAUUUCCUAAUUAAAUCAUGUUUGAUUUUGCGUUUCGAAAAUUCUUUGAAAAAAAUUUGACAAUUUUUAAGUUUUUUUCUUUGCUUCAAAUUAAUAUUUUUGUUAUGUUUUUGUAUUUUUUUUAAAAUAUAUAUGUUGAGAUUUUGUCUAGCUGCGACGCCAAACCCAAUAAAUUUUUUUAUUUUUUUUACUUCAAAAUAAUAUUUUCUUCAUGUUUUUGUAUUAUUUUUAAAUAAUUUUUUUUAAAAAAAAUAUUGAGAUUGUAGACGGUUGAGAGGUGAGAAACAAGAAAUUUAAAAAAUUUUAAUUUUUUUCUUUACUUUAAAUUAAUAUUCUUUCGAUAUUUUUGUAUUAUUUUUAAAAAAAUUAUACUGAAAUUAGAUCUGAUUGCGUUGUAUCCUGCCUUCCAGCAUGACCCAAAAAUGUUGGCCCCCUACUUGCAGGAGGACCCAAUGCUUAAUUGGGCCCUACUGCCUCCAUGCCCAACAUCGUUGGGGGCUUUUGCAACCAGGAUCCAAUUACGGUGGGCUCGGCCUCCUAGCAGGACCCAAUAUGCGUUGCCAGCAUGGGUGAUUAGGUCCUUUCCGCUAAGGGAACUUGAUUGUGCAGCAGGCAUCGAAAACACAAGCUCAGUAGCAAUUCAUUUUAGCAACUAAACAGGCUAUAAACAAGCCUAUAAGCCCUUUUUUCUUUGAAAGAGAGAGAUUCAUACUUAUCAAUAUUACAAGGGAAAGAAAAGCUCUGAAACUGAAAAGGGAUAUCCUGAUUUCAUUGCCUACUUGAUUGCUUUCUAAAUAGGAUGUGCAUUUCUCCUAGAACCAGCUGGCUUACGGGCUUACAAGGAACCAAAAAUACUUGGAAGUCACACUUUAAUAGGCACUGAAAUUAGAUUUCUUUGAUUUAAAUUCAUUUUUCCAAAUAAAUUGAUGGGACUUUUAUUAUAUUGACCAAAACUUGAGUGAUGAUUUUUUUUUUCGUUUCAGGUUGGGUUGAAUUUUCUAAUUAAAUUAUGUUUGAUUUUGCGUUUCAAAAAUUCUUUUAAAAAAAUUUGAUAAUUUUUAAUUUUUUUCUUUACUUCAAAUUAAUAUUUUUUUUUAUGUUUUUGUAUUAUUUUUUUUAAAAAAAUAUGUUGAGAUUGUCUCUGACUCGAAGCCCGACCCAAGAAAUUUUAAAAUUUUAAUUUUUUUCUUUACUUCAAAAUAAUAUUUUUUAUAUAUAUUUUUGUAGUAUUUUUAAAAUAUAUUUUCUAAAAAAAUAUAUUGAGAUUGUGUCUGGAUGAGAGGGAAGACCCAAGAAAUUUAAUUUUUUUUCUUUACAUCAAAUUAAUAUUCUUUUGAUACUUUUGUAUUAUGUUUUCAAAUAUUAUUUAAAAAAAUAUGCUAAGAUUAAGUCUAGCUGUGUCACCAGACCCGUGGCAGUAGUGGGCCCUACCUAUAAGCAGGACCCACCGCUACUGGGUCCUUCUCCCAAGCAUGACCCAAUGAUGUUGGGCCAUGCUGCCCAGCAGCGGUGGGCCGUCCUCCAAGACCCAUUAGCUUUGGGUCCUGCAGCCAGCAUGACCCAUCAAAAAGCAUUGGGUCCUGCUGGGGGCAGGACCCAGUAAACCAAUAUUGUAAUGUGUUUUUCCUUUCUCUUAUUUUUUUUCAUAGGGUAAAGAGGAAAUAUUAUUAUUAUAUUAUUGUUAUUGUUAUUAUUAAUAAAUUCAAAGAAAAAAAAAUUAUUACGAUCGAAGAAAAAACAUAAAUUUUAUUUAAAGAGAUUAAAAAAUAUAAAAACUUGGGUUAGACAAGUUUAACAUUAUUAUUAAUAUUACAAAUAUUAUUAUUUGUAUUAUAAAUAUUAUUAUUUUUAUUACAGGUAAUAUUAUUAAUAUAAUAAUUAAUAAAUUUGAAAACAAAUAUCAUUAAUAUUGAAAAAUAACCAUUGAUUUGAUUUGAAAGUUAAAAUUAAAAAUCAUUUUUAUUUUUAUUAAGUUGGGUUUGACAUCCCCUUCUAAACCCGAGAAACUUGGGGCAGGAAAGGGACACAUGAUCGAAGUUGCUUGGGAGAGGCAGGAGCGCGGAUCCAAGUCCCUCGGAUCUUGCAGCCGCGCCUGACCCAACAUACUUGGGUUAGACGUUUGGAGCCAAGCUUGGAUCUGGCUGCAACGCUAGACCCAAGAGCGUUGGGUCUAGCCGAAAGGACGGACCCCAAGCUCAGGGGUCUUCCUUUUUAAACAGACCCAAUGCUCUUGUGAGCAGGACCCACUAAAGUUGGAACAUGCUGCCACCAGAACCUAGCAGCGGUGGCCCUGCUGCCAGCCUCCCCUGCCCAGCACGACCCAACGUUGUUGGGUCCUUCAAUCAAGCAUGACCUAAUGAUGUUAGGCCCAAAUGGGUACCCAGCUGCUAGGUCAUUUUGUCGAGCAUGAUCCAAUGAUGUUGUAACUUUAAUGGGUUCGGAUUGAAGUUAGACUCAAUGCUCUUGGAUCCGACAUUUAUAAGGGGUGCAAAGCUCUUGGGCCCGACAUUUAUAAAGGGUGCAAAGCUCUUGGGCCUGAUGUUGCAGACAGACCCACUUACUCUUUGAUAAGUUUAAUAUUGAUAUGAAUAUUAAAAAUAUUAUUAUUUGUAUUAGGAAUAUUAUUAUUAUUUUUAUUAUAAUUAACAUAGUAAUUAACAAAUUUGAAAAACAAAUUUUAUAUUGAAAAACAACUUACAAAUUUAAUAAAGGGUAAACUUAAAAAUUAUUAUUAUUAUUAUCAUCAUCAUCAUCAUCAUCAUCAUUAUUAUCAUUAAAUGUUUUUAAAAAAUGGAAGAAAAACCAUAAUUGUUUUGUGAAUAGAUUAAAAAAAAAUAAAAACUUGGGUCAGACAAGUUAUAUAUUAUUAUUAAUAUUAUUAUAAAUAUAUAUUUUUAAAAAAAUAUAUUAAGAUUGUGUAUGGCUGAGAGGUGAGACUCAAGAAAUUUUAAAAUUUUUAUUUUUUUCUUUACUUCAAAUUAAUAUUCUUUUCAUAUUUUUGUAUUUUUUCUAAAAAAUUAUACUUAUUAUAUAUUAUAUUAUAUAUGUAUAUAUUUUUAUUUACUAUAUUAAAACGCGUUAUCUUUGUUGUUUGUGAGUAAAAAAUUACAGCUGGGUUGAUGGAUCCUGCUAUCACUAGGAUCCAAUAGCGUGAGGUCCUGUUGCGAGCAGGAUCCCAUUGGCGUGAGGUUCUGUUGCCAGCAGGAUCCCAUGGUGUUGGGUCCUCUAGGCCCCAUUAGUGUUGGGUUGGGUCCUCUAGGCCCCAUUAGUGUUGGGUCCUGCAAGACCCAUCAGCUUUGGGUCCUUCGGCAAGCAAGACCCAUCAAAAAAUAUUGGUCCUGCCACUAGUAGAACCCAAUACUACAAUGUGUUUUUUUUUUCUUCUAUUUUUUUUUCUCAAAGGGUAAAGAGGAAAUAUUAUUAUUAUAUUAUUCUUAUUGUUAUUUUUAUCAUUAAUAAAUUCAAAGGAAAAAAAAUUAUUACUAUUGAAGAAAAACCAUAAAUUUUAUUUGAAGAGAUUAAAAAAUAUAAAAACUUGGGUCAGGCAAGUUUAACAUUAUUAUUAAUAUUCUAAAUAUUAUUAUUUUUAUUAUAAUUAAUAUUAUUAAUAUAAUAAUUAAUAAAUUUGAAAACAAAUAUUAUUAAUAUUGAAAAACAACCAUAGAUUUGAUUUGAAGAGUAAAAUUAAAAAUUAUUAUUAUUAUCAUCAUUAAUAAAUUUGAAAAACAAUAUUAUUACUAUCAAAGAAAAAUAAUAAAUUUUAUUUGAAGGGAUUAAAAACUAUAAAAACUUGGGCCAAAUAAAUUUAAUAUUAUUAUUAACAUUAUAAAUUUUAUUAAAUUCAUUAAUAUAUUAAAUUUGCAAUGAAUUUUAUUACUAUUUUAAAAAACAUAGAUUUGAUUUGAAGGGUAAAAUCAAUUAUUAUUAUUAUUAUCAUCUAUGCCAAGAAGAUGGUUAUAAGUAGGCUUUGGGUGCGGCUCUGCAGCCAGACCUAAAGAUAUUAGGUGAGGCUGCACACCCACACCCAUAUUUAUUAGGUGUUGCUCCGCAGCUACACCCAACUUUACACCCAAUAGAUAAACCUAAUUGGGCUGGGUCCUCCUGCCAACUUUUACACCCAACAGCAGGACCCAAUUGGGUUUGGUCCUGCUGCCAGCAGGAUCCAACAACUAUCAACGUUGGGUCAAGUACCCAGUAGGACCCAAAAGCUUUGGGUCUGGCGCAGCGAGACCCAUCGAUGAUGGGUUCUGCUGCCAAUUGAAUCUAUCAGCGUUGGGUCCUGCUAAUCGGCAGGGCCCAUAAGUUGUGAGCCUUUCUGUUAGGCCCAAUGCUAUUGGAUCUGGCUUGCGCUGGACCCAAGACACUUAAAAGAUUCUCUACAUUUGACAAAAAAAUUGUUAUUGACACGCUGCAGAACGCAGACUAAUAUGCUAGAUAUCAAACUAUAGCGUGUGUACUGGAUUCCUAUGGAAAUUAUUUUUUAUAUAAAAAUAUAAUAAAAUAAUAUUUUUUAUAAAUUAUAAAUUAUUUUUUUAUAUUAAAAUUUAAAAUGAUUAAAAAAUAAAAAAUUGUUUUGAAAAAAACAAUUCAUAUUCUAAAAAACACAGUUUAAAAGCUACUAGAUGCCAUGCCUGCGCGAUGUCGCGGGCUUGUGCAUUGUUGUGGGUUUGUGGAAAAAAUCAUAACAAAAAAAAAAAACCAUAUGGAGAAAAAUUGUUGCAAUCCACAACGUUUUCAAGGAAAAAACUACAAAGCUAAAUCUCAACCAGCUUAAUAUUAAAAAAAUAAAAUCGACAAAGAUAAUUUUUAAAAAAAUCAUAAGAAAAAAAAAACGAAAUGAAAAAAAAUCAUGCAGGGAAACACUAUAGCAAUCUAUAGUGUUCAAUGAGGAAAUCUACUGUUGUAAUUCUCAACCAGCUCAAUAUUAAAAAUAAUAAAAUCGAUAAAGAUUGUCAUAACCCAAUUCUGGGUUAUUCCCCAAAAUUCACUUUUUUUUCAAAAUAAAAAAAUAAAAAUAAAUAAAGGCUGGCAACGUGGAGAAAGCAAGCCGGGAAAUCAAGCUGCAAUUUUUGGAGGAAAUUCAAGGCCUAAUUGUACCCCAUUAUGCCCCAAAAUAUAGAAAAAAUGCAAAUUCAAGGUCAAAUUAAAUGAUUAUUGGAAGAAUUUGCAUAAAAAUUAAGUCCAAUGACAUAAUUAAAUUUUUAAUAGGCCAAUUUGAUUUAAUCAUGGGUCAAAUUAAAUUUUAAUUAUGUUUAAGAAUUAAUUUGGGUCAAAUUAAAGGAUUUAAUUAAGUGCAAGGACUUAAUUAUACUUUAAAUGGGUCAAAUUAAUUUUAUUUGGGGCUUAAUUGGUGAAAAAUUAAGUUUGGGAGCCUAAUUUAGACUUAAUUGAGAAGAUUGGAAUUUUAAGAGAAAAUUUAAUUUUUUCCAAGUUAAUUGAUUGAAAUUAGGGAUCAAAUUGCAAGAAAAUUAAAGUUUUGGGGUCAAUUAGGGGUUAAAUUGAAGAAAUCCGAGAACAGGGACCAAUAUGCAACAGGCGACAAACUAUGAGGAUUCAAUUGACAAAACCCAGGGGUGAAAUUGAAGAAAUUGAAAGUUUAAUGGUCAAUUAGGGGUUAAAUUGACAAAAUCCGAGACCAUGGACCAUAUUGUAAACGGCGCGUAACUUCGGGGUUCCAAUUAAAAUUAAGUAGGGGCUUAAUUGCAUUAAAUCCAAAGUUUAUAGCCAAUUAGGGGUUCAAUUGAAAGAAAUUGAAAGCUUGAGGACUAAAUUGAAAAUCAAUUUAAAUCCCUGGUAUAACCUAAAACGGCGCCGUUUUAUAUUAAAAAAAAAGAGGACCAGACGACGCGUCGUCUGGUCACUGUUCAUUGUCUUCUUCUUUCACAUGAAAAAAACUGCUUUGGAGCCUUACUUACAGGUUCAUUUAUUGCUUGAUUUCUCCAUCAAAUCAAACACAACUUGCACGAAACGGAUCCCCUACAGUUCCUCUACAACCCCAUGUGAACGUUGCAGGAUGAAUGACAACACGGCGUCACCGGGGACGGCGUGAAGAGGUCAAUGCAGGCAGCCUUUUUCCUGCAGAUUUGACAACUCAGGGAGGCUACUUUGAACCAACGGUUGGGAUCCUUCCCAACAUAAUCAAGGGCUGAAAUUUUUUCCCGGUAUAGACAAGAUUGCCCUCUUCCACCGCCUAUAAAUAGAGGCGGAGUUGAUGGCCUGAUGGAGGAGAAAAUCGAGUCCAAAGUUGACAAAAAAACCAGCCUCCUCCCCAGUUUUUUUUUUCUUUUUCUGCAACAAGUCUCUCUCUCUACACUCUCUCUCACCAUGCUCUCAGCGACUCCAAGCCACGCUGCCACCAGUUCGUCUUCCACCCUCUCCACCACACUUAUUCCUCUCCACCGAAAGCACCUUCUUUUUCCUCCACAACGACAGCAGCCCAUCAACACCAUCAUUUUCAUUUUCUUUCUUCUCCAGUAUCGGCAGCAGCAACACCGACUCCACCACAGACGCCGCCACCAGCUUCAGGGCGACUACUCGGACCACCUCCAACCUCACUCCAGGUCGGUGACAUCAACUGCUUCUCCCCCCGCAAGGUUGCCUCCCGCUCCACUCCGCGGGCUGCAACUGCAAAGUUGCAUAUAGAACGUGAACUUACUGUUCACGUUCUGCACAUAAUUCAUUUCACUUGGGUCAGGCCAGUUCUGGCCCAGACCAAAUGUUUGGGUCGGGUCCGGCCCCCAAAAAGGAGAGAAAGAAAGUAUGUUGGGCCGAUAUCGGCCCAAUCUUUUUGGGGCCUAUAUCGGCCCACUGUUUCUGGGUUUAUGUCUGGCCCAGUCAUCUGGGCCGGCCCAGCCCACCUGUUUUAAUAAUAUUUAUUUAAUAAAUAAUAUUAUAUUAUAUAUUUCUUUUAAAAAAAAAAACGAAAAAUUCCAAAAAAAUUUCAAAAAUCCUUUGAAAAAAAUUGUGAUUUUCUCAAAUAUUUUUUUUACCAAUUUUGCAUAAUAUUGGGUUGUAUAUUUACACUGUAAAAUACAAAUCAUGUAUUAAAAUACCUGGUUUUCUUUGAAAUAUUUCAAAAAAAAGAAAAUUAAAACAUUCUCAAAAAGAAAAAAUAUUUUAUUGCAUACGGCCAAAUCCUAAAAUUUUUCCAAGCAUAUUUUUCAUAUAAAAAAACGAAAACAAAAAUUGCAUCUUUUUGAUGUUUAAAAAAUCCAAAAAUGGAUAUCGUAACCAAUUUAUGAUUAUCCACUAGGAUUUGGUCAACAUGUCAAAAACCUUUUUCUAAUUUUUUUAGGGUCCAGAUGUAGACUUUAAUAUUUAUGGGUGUAAAAUUACACGAUAAAAUACACCCUCAAGUAUUAAAGAUACAAGGUGUAAAAAUACGAUGCUAAAAUUCAGACUUUAAAACUGUUAGGAUUUAACCCAAUAAGGUAGAGACUUUCUCAUGAAGAGAGAUUUGCCUUGAGCCUUAGAAAAGACCAACGAAUAGAAACCCAACUUGGAAAAAAACAAUCAAACAAUAAUGCAGCUUACCUUAAGUAGGGUGCAUUAGGGGUGAUGCAUCUUCCCCUUGCACAACCAGUCCCUUACUCAGACUCUCGCAGACCAUAGGUUCCUAGUGACCAUAAUACUAGGUGGUGACUCCUGAAUCUUAAUCAUAAUUUUAUGAUUAAAUCCAAAAAAAUCUUCCUAACACACAACACACCUCACAUAGGAGGCACGACAGAAAGCCUUCUUUGUCGCCAGACGACAUCGCACCGGCUCUUGCGCAUCCUGCGACAAAGAUAAUUUAAAAAAAAAACCAUAAUAAAAAAAUUAUGUGGGAAAAGACUGUAACAAUCCACAGUUAAAAAAAAAAAAAACUAAAUUUCUAACCAGCUUAAUAUAUAUAUAAAAAAAAAAAAAGUCUUCGGUGGCGAUUGAUAGCUAUGCGAUGAACUACUCAAAAUGCUAGAACAAUUGCAAAUCCCAGUUGCUAUGUAAUGGAACUUCCAGGCUAAGGCUCCUUUAAAUUACCUGCACGCCCGGCCUAGGAAAUUAUUAUUCUAAUUAUUCAACGACGACUUCAAGACUUGGCUGGCGUCGGGUGAUGACGAAGACAUUAUGACGUAGGUCUGCUGAAGUGGACCAAGUGUUCCAUGACAAUGCUGACUUCAGUUAUUUUUUAAUAUAUUUUUUUAAAAAUACAUCAAAAUAAUAUUUAUUAUUUUUUAAAAUUAAUUUUUGAUUUUAGUACAUUAAAAUAAUUUAAAAAUAUCAAAAAAAUAUAAAAUUUUUAAAAAACAUGAUUUAAUUGGAAAAAAAAAACAAAACCUCCUAGGGCUGUUUUAUUAUUAUCCUCGUUCCUCGAACUGUCUAAAUUAACAAGGAUACCCGCACUGCCUAAUUUCCCGGUCGUCAACGGUGGCGCCUCAUUCGAUAAUGGGGUAUCCUUUGGUAGGGCUGUUUUGUUUUAUUGUUAACUUUGUUUAGAAUUUUUCUUAUCAACCUGGUGGGGCCGGCCAUUGAGAAGUGGGUCUAGAAAAUUUGAUGCUGUCGAGAAAGGCCGUAGAUUCUAAACUUCGAUCUUAUCCAUGGAAUUAUAAAAAACAAUUAUUAAUUCAUGCACAUCAAAAAAGAUUCUAUAAGAUAAUAAUAAAGGCGAGGAGGUUGGCACAUACACGCGCGAGACCACGAAGCAACGUUGUUGGCUUUUGCUACCAGAAAAUGGAAAUCCAGUUAUACUUUACAGAUCAACUAAUGAUUUCACGAGAAUUAAGAAGGAAAGCAUUAAAUUUAUGGAAAUCUUUUCUUGGCAUGUGAGGGGAACGAGUCAGCAGUCUGGGUACAGUUGUUGGCUUUUGCUAACUUCUCCUGGCUAGCCAUUAAUCCUAUCCGUCUUUGGCCUCUCGUGAACAUGCGUUCUUUUUUAAAAAUAUUUUUUAUUUAAAAAUUAUUUUGGAUAUUAAUUUAUCAAAAUAAUCUGAAAAUAUUAAAAAAAAUUAAUUUUAAAAAAAUUAAAAUUAAAAUUUUAUUAAAAAUACUUUUAAAAUACAAAAACAAACACUAUAUAUAUAUAUAUAUAUAUAUAUAUAUAUAUAUAUAUAUAUAUAUAUAUAUAUAUAUAUGUUCUUCCACCAAAACAGGAUCCACCCUCUAGAACCCUUCAAAUAACUGCCAUGAACCCAAUUUCCACUUGCUCGAUUUCAUUUAUCAAGGACAUAUCAGUUACGAAAGAAAUGACAUUUCUAUUGGAUGGAUUUGUCUUGCUUAGCUCUGAGUUUAGAGUAAUGCUGCUUUCUUGAUUCUGAAAUCCGUCUCAACAGGUAAUGUGAGAAGGCAAAGAGGGGGGAAGAAGACUAUCCAGUUGCUUGGAUUGGACACUCUUGUUCCUUUUACGGUGGAGAUAGAAAGGUUUCAUAGUAUAAUGUUGCUUAAGUCACAAUCAGCCCUCUUUUUUUUUUAAUCUGCAAAACAAUUACAGGAAUAUUUGCACCAGAGGUGAAGCUGCUGCUGCUUCAUCCAGCCAGAAAGAAACAAAGAGAGUGGCACAAUGGAACCAUGCAUGCCACCUCUUCCCAAUUUUUUGACAGGACUGAUAAGCAUUUUCCUCUACGAAUGACGAAAACCUCAUAACAAGUGAUGGAGAUUUGAGAACAACAAGCAACCAUGGAUUCCCAAGUUUCAAAUGGGUCACAGGAUUCACAUAAACUUAGCCAAUCCGGUUAUUUAUUUUUGGUAUCGAAAUACAGGACAUGAAAAUCCUUCAGCAACACACCUCUUAAUUACAUAUCAAUAACAGGAAAGACAUCCACAUCUUCACACACAUGCAACAAACACCUUACAUCGCACGCUUCUUAUAGCAGAAAGCCCAUAAAACCAGAUACAAAGAGCGCUUGCCCGCUUAAGCUCUGCGGCACACAUCUCCAUCGCAGUUCCAUCCUUCCUUUCCCUUUGCCUUCUCCUCAAGCUCCUCCUCCAUUUGCUUUAGAUGUUCCUCGGUAAAUGGAAAAGCAUCUGCCCCGUAAGCUGUCAAGUGCAUCCGAGCUUCCUUGGUAAUGGUCCGGCCACUUGGGCCAAUCGCUACAGCUGCAGGAAUGCCUUGAAUUUUGAAUUUCCGACUCAGGAUUUGUUUCCUUUCAUCACCAAAUGGAAGGGCUAACCAAGGCAUUUCUGAAUAGAACUCGUCAAAGGUGGAUUGAUCUCUGUCGCUUGAGAUGAAGAUCACCUCAAAUGCGUUGUCUUUUCUUUUAAUUGUGUGGUAUGCUUCAAUUAGCUUGGGUAAAAAGGCACGACAAGGAGGGCACCAUUGAGCUGAGAAGUAAAGAAGAAUGUUCUUUCCAACUAGAUCGGACACUGGGACCUAAUCAAAGAGUAAACCAUUUGAAUGAUAAAAAAAACCUUUGCUAAUGAAUUCAAUUCGUGAUAAUAAGAAAGUUAUUGAAAGUAAUGCAAUAACAACAUGCGAGGUUAGCAUAGAACAAAAAAAAUUACCUUGGAGCCACUUUUGCCAAUCACAAAAUCAUUUUCCCCAUUAACCAAAACUGACUCAAGCGUCUGCGAUUCCAGUUUUGCCUUUUCAAUUGCAGCUAGCUCGUCAAGCUUUUCCGGUGUAAAUGGGUAGGCUUCGAUACCAUGUUCUUCGAUUAGUUCAGCUACAUUUGGGUUCAAAGUCUUCCCAUCUUGGCCAAUUAUAACAAGAUUAGGAAUGGUUCUAAGUUCAAAAUACCGCACUAGCUUCUCGCAGCUCUUGUCCUUCAAUGGCAAUGCCAACCAAGGCAUUGUCUCAAAACUCUCUUUGAAGUCUUCUUCUUCGUCGUCUAGAGAUAGUAGGACUACUUCAAAGUUCUCUCCUUUUUCCUUGAGCGUCUUAUACAAUUCCACUAGUUUAGGAGUGAAUUCACCGCACAUCCUAUGAGCAUGGACUGAAAAAUACAAGCCAACCAAUUUUCCUUCAAGGUCCGACACAGGGAUCUGCCAUUACAGAUAGCAAAAAUGUGAAUUAUGGCAUCAUCAAUUCAAUUUCAAAACUAGCUAAUUGAAUGAACCAUCUACCUUUUUUCCAUCAUUUGAAAUCACAUAAUCACGUGAGCUUGAAACCAAGAUAGAGCUUAUGGUUUGAUUCUUCUUAGCAUUCUCUUUAAGGAAAUUCAGUCUAUCAAGGUUGAACGGAUACCCAUCCACGCCAUGUUCCUUGACAGUGCUGACUCCAUUAUUAUCGCAGGAAACCUUACCAUUAGUAUCAAAAAUGACAAGUCUAGGGAUCCCUCUUACUUUGAACACUUCCUUAAGACGUUGGCGGGUCUCGGUUUCAGAGAAGGGAAUAGCAAGCCAUGGCAUUUCGGAGAAGUACGUGUUGAAGGAUUCAUCGUCUCCAUCAGAAGAAAUGAAGACCACCUCAAAGUCCCCUUUGGAUGAUAGGUGUUCAUAGACUUCUACCAACAAUGGAGUGAAAUUACGGCAUGGGCCGCACCACGAACCAGAGAAAUAGAAUCCCACAAUCUUCCCAACCAAAUCGCUGACCUUGACCUAAAAAUUAAUGUCGAACAUUAUCAGAAAAAAACAUCAGCCCUUGACGAAUCAAAAUCUUAUUCAUGGUUUCUUUCUCUUGCCAGUGAGAAGCAACAAAAAAAAGAGCCUUUUCUUAAUCAUAAAAGCUUCACAAAUUGGUCAUAAAUUUGUUCUUCAGCAAGGCUUGCAGUCUAAUUUAAACAUGAUAUUCAUCUUAAUUACUAGAAAAACCUACAAGUUCAUAUAAAAAAAGACGUCAACUUAUAAUAAGACAAGAAGAAGUAGAAUUGAAUAAGAUCAGAUCGAGGAACUCAUAUGCUAAAAGCAGUACCUGAUCACCAUUGUUGCGGAUGAGAAAGUCCCUCUCUUCUGAAGAAAGAAGCGUUGAAAGGUCGAGGGAAACGUCUUCGGUGGCCAUAGUUAGCUAUGUGAUGAACUACUCAAAAGGCUAGAACAAUUGCCAAUCCCAGUUGCUAUGUAAUGGAACUUCCAGGCUAAGGCUCCUUUAAAUUACCUACACGCCCGGCCUAGGAAAUUAUUGUUCUAAUAAUUCAACGACGACUUCAAGACUUGGCUGGCGUCGGGUGAUGACGAAGACAUUAUGACGUAGGUCUGCUGAAGUUGUUGGUAUUAGCAUUAUCACGGGCUUUUACAACUCUCCUCUUGCUUUUUUUUUUUUUUUAAUCUCUUUUUUUUUGUUUUUGUUUGUAUUCUAGUUUUAUCCAUGGUUUGAUAAAAAUUUUUGUGAGUUUGUUAUUAAAUGUAUUUUGUGUUUUAUCUUUUUAAUAAAAUCUUUAUAUUUCUUGAUACAAAAAAAUCCUUAAUUGGUUUUUUUAAUUAAAAAAUUAUUCUCUUUUGUUUUUGAUGCAUUUGAAAAUGAAUUUUUCUAUCAAUUUUUUUUUCUAAUAUAAAUCAAUAAUCAUAUGUAAAGCAUAGUUGAAAUGAACGAACGAACAAACAAACUAUAUACAUGACAUCUUACAUAGGAAGCUUAGGAAAGGGUGAAGGCCAAGAAUAAUGUAAAAUAAAACCUAUGACUCCACUACCAAUAAUGUAAAAAUAAUUAUUGAGAAAAAUAAAUCAUAAAAAUAUACUUCCAGCUCCAGUCAUCCAAAGCUUCUUAAGUCUCAGAAAAAAAAAACAUUUAACACAAACCUCAAUAAAAUUCAUAUGCUAAUUAAAUUCAGAUUUUUGUAACGUAGUCUAUUUUCUAUCAAAUGUGACUUGAUAAUAAUCACAUGCAAUUUAAUAGACAGGCUAAAAUCCAAACUUGAUAUAGUUCUUGGGUUAUAAUAGAGUUUUUCAAUAAUAAAACUCUUAACUUCUUUUUUUUAAAAAAAUAAUGAUAUUGCAUAUAUUUAAUAAUUAUAAAUAAAAUUAUAUUGUGUAUUUGAGCCAUGUCAGGACUCUAUUUCAAUAAAGAGACCCUAUAUUUUCAGGGGAGAAAAAAAGAGUUUUUAAAUGCAAUACUUUGUCAUAAGUCGUGACUUUUCCACACUCAAAAGGGCACCAUACAUAUAUGUCAUUAUACUUUAUCUCCAAACGUAAUUAAAUUAGUCAAUUAAUUGUAAGUGAGGGAAGUUAAUGAAUUUCCACUCUAAUUAAAAUGUUCAAAUUCAUUAUUCGCUUUCAACUUUAUCCUGAUUAAAUCAGGUUAAGUAGAUGACUUUCUUCAUUCGCGGGUAUCCACCAGAUAUCCUAAUCUAUUUUUUAAUUAAUUUUAUAAAAAUCAAACCCAAAUUUAAAAAAAAAAAUCCUUUAUUUAUGAAUCGUAAAACUAUGAAAUUAAAUUAAAUAUAAAACCAAGAGAUCUGGUUAGUUUAGUGUUGUUGCAAUGUGGACAAAAACUCAAAAUAUCACGGAUUGAAAUAGUGUUGUUUGUUUUUAAAAACAUUUUCAUUAUAGUCACCAAACACUUUUUAAAAUUUCUUUUAUCUUUGAAAUUUCAUUAUAAUAAUCAAUUACACCCAGUCUUUCACUGUAUAUGGGAACGAAAAUCAGCAUUUUUUUUUGUACAACUUUCUUUUCAUAACGUAAAGUAAAUCCAUCUCUUCAAUCCGAUCAAGUUGACGACAAAAUGCAAAAGAACAAAACAUAGCAUUAGCAUCCAAGUUGAUUUGUUUGGAAUUACAAGUAGAUGUGAGAAUGUGGGGUCAUUUCUUGAUUGGGAUAUUUCAGGGAAAAGGAAAAUAAUUAGAAAAAACAGUGGUGUGCUAAGAUGAAGAUGGAGGCUAGGAGCACUUACCGGUGCGAAGGAGAGACACGAAGGCCUAAAAUGUAAGCAACUUUGGUGUAAACAGGGACGGGUUUGGAAAGGUCAUUAUUAUUGAUGACAUUGUAGGAGUAGUUGUUUUUCACAGUUCUUGAAAGCUUUUUGCCACGUGUAACGGUUUUGAUGCAACCUCUUAUCAUCCCCACUAUCUCUUCACCUAUCCCCAAUGCUGUUUUUUUUUUUUUGAAAAAUUAAAUGUCAUUAUAUUAGAGUGAUGUUCAAAAUAGAAUCUUAUUUUAUUGCAUAAAAAAAUUUAAGACUUUAAGACGGGGGUUGACAGUUAGCAAUAUCAAAGAACCAUCUUAACCCAAUAGCUUAAGCUUUCAAGUGACGUCCCAAGAUAUGAUUUAUAGUAUUCUCUAACACACCCCCUCAAGUAAAAGCUCUUUGGGCUUGAAACUUGCACAGACCCACAUUACCUUGUGCUUAAUUUUUAUCAAAUAAAUAGGGAUGGUGAGAUUCGAACUCGUGACCGCUUGAUUAUCAAGGCUCUGAUACCAUGUCAAUGAACCAUCUCAACCCAAUAGCUUAAGCUUUCAUGUGAGGUCCCAGAAUAUGAUUUAUAUUAUUCUCUAACGAGUAAGAAUUUAAGGUUUUUUUAUUUGAUAAAUGUUCAUUUAACAUCAUUUUACUUUGAAAAAUUUAUGUUUUGAUACAAAACUCUAUUUUAAUCACAUUUCAGAUUAUAAGUUUUAGAAAAAAGAAAAAAAUUCAUUAAAAAUAGCGAAAGAGAGAGAAACACAUACACUGACAAGGUUUUGUUUGUGAAAAUAGCUUAAAUGUGUGUCAAUAUGUUAUUCUUGACAAGAAGAGUGCUACUAUAAUGUUUUUAAGCUUUAUAUUGUCAAAAAAGAUAAAUCGAGGUUGAAAGAGUUAUUUUUAAGUUAAACUUUGUGUUUUAAAAUUAUUUUAGAGUUUCUUUUUAGUUGAUGGAUUAGUUUAGAGGCAAUUUAAAAGUAUUUAUAAGAUGUUUUUAGAUAAAAACAUAUUAAAAAAUAGAAUUUUAAAUAAAAAACUCCAACCCAAUUCUUUAACCACUUCUCUAUUAUAUAAAAAAAAAAUAAAGCAAAUGAUGCGACAAAAAAAUAAAUCAAGCAAAUGAUUGUCAUUUGUUUUAUAAAAAAAAUAAAAUAAAGGACAAAUACUAUGUCAUCCAUCAAAGAAAAAAUAAAAUGGCUCUCAUCUUUUGGAUAAGCAUGCCGAGUCACUUGGCCCCACAAACAUGGCUUGUUUUUAGCUUCUCUUUUUUUUUUUUUAUGAAUCUUUAUCCUUGAGUUUUAAUUUUAUUUCAUUAAAAUUAAUUAUUUAAAAACACAUAAGGAUAUUAUUUUAGUAAAUACUUAAAUUAUUAAGAAUAUAUACGAAAUAUUAUUUUAUUAGAUAUCAUUUAAUUUUUAUUUUAUUUUAAAAUAAAAUUAUAAUGUUUUUUUUAUAAUAUUAGUAAGAGAUUUUUUUGGACUGAUAUUUCUUAUCUUCGCAUAUUCGCUGUCAAAGACUAUAAUAAUAGAUUCCAUGGAAAACAUUAAGGGUGUGAUUCAACUACUAAAUGAUAAUCGACUAAAAGAGUGUUUGGAGUCCACCCGUAUUUUUAAAAUAUUUUAAUUUUUUUAAUAAAAAUUAAUAUUUUUUUAUAUUUUGGAUUGUUUUAAUGCAUUAAUUUUAAAAAUAAUUUUUAAAAAAUAAAAAAAUAUUAUUUUGAUACAUUUCAGAAUGAAAAACACUUUGAAAAGCAAUCAUAACCACGCUCCCAAACAAGACAUGUUUAAAAAUGUGAUAGAAGUUGAGUUUUAAAAUAUUUUUUACUCAGAAAUAUAUUAAAAUAUAUAUUUUUUAAUUUUAAAAAAUUUAUUUUUGAUAUCAAUAUAAUAAAACAAUUCAACAAUACUAAAAAAAAAAAUUAAAUUUUAAACAAAUAAUAUUUUGCUUCAUUGAGCUAUAAACAAAAUAAUCAAAUUUUUAAUCUAUUUGUCACAUCAUGAAACAUGAUGAUCAUUAAUUAGCAAACACCACCAUGUAGGAAUCACAUGUGACACUUUAAAUUCAUCAUACCAAAUUGAUCAAAUUAUAACGUAAUCCCUAUAUUUUUAAGAAAUUAAUAGCUCACUCCCUUUAUUUAAAAGAAGCCAUAUUUUACCUCCCAUGUUAUCAUUUCCAUUUACUAUAACUUAGUUCUUCCUUUAGUUUUACAUUAUAAAAGUGCUAAACCAUUACUUUAGGUAUUAGUACAAAAAAAGUAUAUAUUAACGGAUUGACGGUCAAACCUUCUCAAUUGAGUAACUUUUUUUAUUUUUUUUUAUUAACAUGGGUAUUCGGGACAGUUUACGCGCAUCUUGACUAAUCCCAUAAACUCUGAAGUUAAUAAUCAUGUAAGCCUCCAGUAACUAUUAUAUUAGCAACCACAAGAUUUGAACCUGAGACCACAGGGAGAGUAAACCCCUUGGUCACCUACUAGAUGAUUAACUUUUUUUUUUAAAAAAAAACAGAAGGACUAACAUAUUGGUUUAUUGAGAAUACGAGGAUUCAAUUAUAAUUUACUUCAGGAAACAAAUAUGAUGCUAUUGACAUCCCCACAAGUGAACUGGCACAAUUAUUGUUUAUAUAAAAUUUCAAAAUGAUUUAUUCUUAAUUUUAACAUUUUAUUUUUAAAAUUUUAUUGUAAUGAAGUGACAGAGUAUGCUAAGAGUAUACCAAAAUAAAACACUGUUGUUUUAAUAUAAAAAUUAAUUUACAGGUUGACUGGAUAGCCUUAUAACCUAGAUGUUUUUCGAAGUUAGUUUUGAAUGAAUGGAGUGUUAUUAGUUAGUUCAGCGUGAUAAUUGGACUGAAAAUCUUUCGUUCUAAAUUAUCAACCAUUCAGAAUUGUUUUGUGCGUGAGGAUGCCAAAUUACCAAAACUAAACCCUAUUUAUAAUCCAUCACCUAUCAAUAGUGAUGUAAGAGUUCCAGCUUGUUUUCUGCAGCUGUGCCAAAACCUGGAGGGUCUAUACUAGCCCAGCAGUCCUUCCCCCGUCGUAAGGUAAGAGCCCAGCACCAGCAGUGUCCUUCCUCCGUCGUAGAGGGGUCCAUACACGAGAUGGCCAGAGAUAGUAAGUGAUUUCGAAAUAUUACAUUUCAGAUUAAGGUUGUCAAUUCCGUUCCGUUUCGCCCGGAAUGACCGAAACAUUCUAUACCAAUUCAAAAAACGAAACAAAACGGAACAAAUUUCAUCUCAUUUUAAAUCUCGGUCCGUUCCGGAUUUUUCGGCUAAAUUCCACCCGGAACGUUCCUGUUUCAUUCCACAUGUUCCGUUCCGCUCUUGAAAAGUCAUUGAAUCAAAUUGAACCUUGUUCAAUUUAAUUAAUUAAACCACCCAAUUAUAAAAAGUUUUUUUUCAUUAUAAUUUUCAAUAACAAUGAUAUUAAUAAUAAUAUUGAAAAUUAUUAUUACUAUUUUCAUUAACAAUGAUAUUAAUUUUUUAAAAUUAGAUUUAUCACUAAUAUAUAUGGUUUAUAUUCAUGUUGUUUUUUUCAUGUUUAUACUUUGUAGGAAUUUGAGCAAAAUAAAGGAUGCUUUAGAUUUCAUUAGCCUUGAUAAUAUUAACCUAGCUUUAUAUUUAAAAUAUUUGUGUUAAAACAUUUUAUUUUCAUAAUAUUUUGAUAUUUUGUUUAAGUUGAAUUACUUUAAGUUAAAGAUCUAUUUAAUCUUGACUAUUUAGAAAUAUUUUAAAUUUUAAAAUUAUAUUUGUUUGGCAUUGUGUUUGUAUUGCAUAAUUUAUAAUUAAUUUAUCUUGAAUUUGAAUUAUGUUUGUUGAAUAUAUAUAUAUAUAUAUAUAUAUGAACAGUACAACCCCGAAACGGCACGCCGAAACACUCCGAAACUGAAACAUUCCAUUCCAAUUGAAAAACGAAACAUCUAUCAAAACAGAAUUGACAACCUUGUUUCAGACUGCAACAAAUGAUAAGGUUUUGUGGCUGUCAUGGCGAAGGCAAAUUAAAGCACAUGAGAUUCAGUGGUGAGAAGCUAUGGAAAGUGGCAAAAAGAAACUGCGAGAACAUGAAACACGCAUUUGAACAUGAAAAAGUAAAUAAGCUGAACAUAAUUAAUGGGCCAUAGAAGCGAAGGUUUUUUCAAUGGCUUCAAACUUUUUGGCAGCGUGCUUGAUUGUUGUCGCCGAAUUUCUUGGCAGUGUGCUUGCUUGAAUUGCGGAUGUAUCACAUGGAUGAUAUUUUCGUUCUUUCGAGGCAUCAAAUAAUAUGGUGUCACGAGAAUUAAGCAAAUAGAAAAGCAUUAAAUUUACGGAAAUCUUUUCCUGUGGUCUUGGUGUAGUUGUUGGCUUUGCUAACUUCUACAAUCAAAUAAUAUGAAUGAAGCUGGUUCUUCAUCCAGCCAAAUAGAAACAAAGAGAGCGGCACAAUGGCAUCAUGCAUAGCAUUUUCCUUUAGGAAUGACAAAAACCUCAUAUCAAGUGAUUGAGCUAUGAGAACAACCAUCAACCAUGGAUUCCCAAGUUUCAAAUGGGUCACAGGAUUCACAAAAACACACAGAGCUGUUUAUUUAUUUUUCGUAUCCAAAUACAGGACAUGAAAACCCUUCAGCUUCACACUUCUUAGAUACAUAACGAUAACAGGAGAGACAUCCCCACUAUAUUCACACACAUGCAACAAACAUCUUCCAUUGCAUACUUACUACAGCAGAAAGCCCAUAAAACCCGACACAAGCAGCGCUUGCCUGCUUAAGCUCUGCGGCACACAUCUCCAUCGCAGACCCUUCCUUCCUUUCCCUUUUCACUUCCAGUAUCUUCAUCUUCCUUCAAAGCACACUUAGGGUGAAGAUCAAAGUCACAUUGUUUGCAAAAGAAAGACCACCUAUAUCCCGUUUCCCCACAGCCAUCGCAACCGUAUGCACUGCGUUUAGUACGUAUCAGCUCAUGCUCAGUAUGUAGUUCGUGUUUCACUUUCUCUGGCCACCCCUUCGCCUUUUCCUCAAGCUCCUCCUCCAAUUGCUUUAGAUGUUCCUCGGUAAAUGGAAAAGCAUCUGCCCCGUAAGCUGUCAAGUGCAUCCGAGCUUCCUUGGUAACGGUCCGGCCACUUGGGCCAAUCGCUAAAGCUGCAGGAAUGCCUUGAAUUUUGAAUUUCCGACUCAGGAUUUGUUUCCUUCCAUCACCAAAUGGAAGGGCUAACCAAGGCAUUUCUGAAUAGAACUCGUCAAAGGUGGAUUGAUCUCUGUCGCUUGAGAUGAAGAUCACCUCAAAUGCGUUGUCUUUUCUUUUAAUUGUGUGGUAUGCUUCAAUUAGCUUGGGUAAAAAGGCACGACAUGGAGGGCACCAAUGAGCUGAGAAGUAAAGAAGAAUGUUCUUUCCAACUAGAUCGGACACUGGGACCUAAUCAAGAGCAAACCAUUUGAAUGAUAUAAAAAACCUUUGCUAAUGAAUUCAAUUCGUGAUCAUAAGAAAGUUAUUGAAAGUAAUGCAAUAACAUGCGAGGUUAGCAUAGAACAAAAAACAUUACCUUGGAGCCACUUUUGUCAAUCAAAAAAUCAUUUUCCCCAUUAACCAAAACUGACUCAAGCGUCUGCGAUUCCAGUUUUGCCUUUUCAAUUGCAGCUAGCUCGUCAAGCUUUUCCGGUGUAAAUGGGUAGGCUUCAAUACCAUGUUCUUCGAUUAGUUCAGCUACAUUUGGGUUCAAAGUCUUCCCAUCUUGGCCAAUUAUGACAAGAUUAGGAAUGGUUCUAAGUUCAAAAUACCGCACUAGCUUCUCGCAGCUCUUGUCCUUAAAAGGCAAUGCCAACCAAGGCAUUGUCUCAAAACUCUCUUUGAAGUCUUCUUCUUCGUCGUCUAGAGAUAGUAGGACUACUUCAAAGUUCUCUCUUUUUUCCUUGAGCGUCUUAUACAGUUCCACUAGUUUAGGAGUGAAUUCACGGCACAUCCUAUGAGCAUGGGCUGAAAAAUACAAGCCAACCAAUUUUCCUUCAAGGUCCGACACAGGGAUCUGCCAUUACAGAUAGCAAAAAUGUGAAUUAUGGCAUCAUCAAUUCAAUUUCAAAACUAGCUAAUUGAAUGAACCAUCUACCUUUUUUCCAUCAUUUGAAAUCACAUAAUCACGUGAGCUUGAAACCAAGAUAGAGCUUAUGGUUUGAUUCUUCUUAGCAUUCUCUUCUUGCUCUUUAAGGAAAUUCAGUCUAUCAAGGUUGAACGGAUACCCAUCCACGCCAUGUUCCUUGACAUGUCUGACUCCAUUAUCGCAGGAAACCUUACCAUUAGUAUCAAAAAUAACAAGUUUAGGGAUCCCUCUUACUUUGAACACUUCCUUAAGACGUUGGCGGGUCUCCGUAUCAGGGAAGGGAAUAGCAAGCCAAGGCAUUUCGGAGAAGUAUGUGUUGAAGGAUUCAUCGUCUCCGUCAGAAGAAACGAAGACGACCUCAAAGUCCCCUUUGGAUGAUAGUUGUUCAUAGACUUCUACCAACAAUGGAGUGAAAUUACGGCAUGGGCCGCACCACGAACCAGAGAAAUAGAAUCCCACAAUCUUCCCAACCAAAUUGCUGAACUUAACCUAAAAAUUAGUGUCGAGCAUAAUCAGAAAAAAAAAAAAAACAUUAGCCCAUAAAUUAAGAGGGUAAACAAAAACUGAGGCUUUUCUUAAUCAUAAAAGCUCUAGAAAUUGGUCAUAAACUUGUUCUUCAGCAAGGGUCGCACUCUAAUUUAAACAUGAUAUCCAUCUUAAUUACGAGAAAAAGUUUAAUAAGACAAGUAGAAGUAGAUCGCAUAAGACCAGAGAAAUCCAUAAGCUAAAAGCAGUACCUGGUCACCAUUGUUGCGGAUGAGAAAGUCCCUCUCUUCCGACGAAAGAAGGGAUGAAAGGUCGUGCGAAACGUCUUCGUUGGCCAUUGUUAAGUGAUGAACUACUCAAAAUGCUAUAACAAUUGCCGAUUCCAAACGCUAUUUAUUGGGACAAACUGGGAUGGUUCCUUUUAAGUUACUUGCACAGCACGCCUAGGGAAUUAUCAUACGUCAACGAUGACAUGUAAAUUUGGAUGGUGAUGCCAAAUUAAAACAUCAUUCUCCUUAUCUAAAUACCAUAGUUAUUAAACCCGGCCCGGGGGUUGACCCGGCCAAGGGACCGGGUCCCGGGUUUCAUGGGUCAACCCGGGUCAACCCGGAUUAACCCGGAAAAAUUAAAAAAAAUUAAAGUUUUAAUAUUUCAUAUGAAAAAAUCUAUGUAAAUAUAGAUUAUACAUAUUAUGAAGUUUAAAAUAAUAUUUUAAAAAGUUUUUUAUCCCACAUUGAAAAAACAUAACUUUUUUCUUAGAAACAUAGAGUAUAUAUACUAAUGAGUUUCAAAUCCCACAUUGAAAAGAUAAUAUAUUAUCCUUUUAAGUUGAAGUAUUUAAACCAAAAGGUUUUUUAUCCCACAUUGAAAAAACAUGAUUUUUUUCUUGGGAACAUAGAGUAUAUAUAUUAAUGGGUUUCAAAUCCCACAUUGAAAAAACAUGGUUUUUUUUUCAUGGGAACAUAGUGUAUAUAUAUGAAAGGGUUUCAAAUCCCACAUUGAAAAGAUAUCAUGUUAUCCUUUUAAGUUGAAGUAUUUAAACCAAAAAGUUUUUUAUCCCACAUUGAAAAAACAUGGUUUUUUUCAUGGGAACAUAGUGUAUAUAUAUGAAAGGGUUUCAAAUCCCACAUUGAAAAGAUACCAUGUUAUCCUUUUAAGUUGAAGUAUUUAAACCAAAAGGUUUUUUAUCCCACAUUGAAAAAACAUGAUUUUUUUCAUGGGAACAUAGUGUAUAUAUAUGAAAGGGUUUCAAAUCCCACAUUGGAAAGAUACUAUGUUAUUUUUUUAAGUUGAAGUAUUUAAACCAAAAGGUUUUUUAUCCCACAUUGAAAAAACAUGGUUUUUUUCAUGGGAACAUAGUGUAUAUAUAUGAAAGGGUUUCAAAUCCCACAUUGGAAAGAUACUAUGUUAUCCUUUUAAGUUGAAGUAUUUAAACCAAAAGGUUUUUUAUCCCACAUUGAAAAAACAUGAUUUUUUUCAUGGGAACAUAGUGUAUAUAUAUGAAAGGGCUUCAAAUCUCACAUUGAAAAGAUACUAUGUUAUCCUUUUAAGUUGAAAUAUUUAAACCAAAAGAUUUUUAUCCCACAUUGAAAAAACAUGGUUUUUUUCAUGGAAACAUAGAGUAUAUAUACUAAUGGGUUUCAAAUCCCACAUUUGAAAAAAAAAAAAAAAAAAAAAACCCGGGUCUCGUCCGGGUCACCCGGGUUCCGGGUUGACCCGCCGGGUCGCCCGGGUUUGGCCGGGCUGUUGCCACAGCCGGUCUUUUAUUAAACCCGGCCCGGUCCAGCCACCGGGUCGACCGGGUCCCGGGUCGACCCGCCGGGCCGGGCCGGGUUUAAUAACUAUGCUAAAUACCAGUAGGUUCGAGAAACUGGUAUUAAACAUGCUUUCCCACGUGCUUUUACACACCUCCUUUUGCUUUUUUGUUUAAAAAAGAAAAAGAAAAAGAAAAAAACAUAUUUUUUUUUUUUUAAUUUCUCUCUCUUUUGUUUUAUCCUUAUUUCUUUUCCUUUAAAGAUUCAUACAGUCACCCAGUCACUCUUCACUUUUUACCUUAUUAGUUUAUACAGCUGGGUCAGGCAAGGAUUUAGUCUAGCAGCCAUAACAUUGGGUCUCAUAUAGUUGCUUGUCUAAGCAUCUUGGAUCAUCAGGCAUGGAUUAGGUGUAACAGGCAAGCCAGUUCCAAUUCAUGGGUAUGGUAUAAUUACCCUCAUAAUUAUCACAUUGAGCUUGCCUCUGCAGGUCAACCAAAGAUCCGGGUAAUCUAGGACCUUAGUUAGGUAUAUUUAAUUUAAAAUUCAGGUCUGUAAUUGGCCUAAAUAAAACCGGUCAUCUUGUUAGGUUAACUCGGAAUUUGAUUGACCCAGUAAAACUCAAUAGAUACCUGUUUUUUUAAAAUAUAUUUUUUCUCUUAACUAGAGAUCCUUUUCUUUCAUAUUUUUUAGUUGGUUAUAACUUAUUUCAAAGUUCACUAUAUAAAUACUAGAAGAAUGUUUUUAUUUUUUUAAUGUGAGAUUUGAAGCACUGUAGUAUAUAUACUCUAUGUUUACAAGAAAAAAGUUAUGUUUUUUCAAUGUGGGAUAAAAAACCUUUUUGAUUUAAAUACUUCAACUUAAAAUAAUAUGAUAAUAUCUUUUAAAUGUGAGAUAAAAAAUCUUUUAAAAUAAUCUUUUAAAUUUAAUUAUUUACAACAUGUAUAGCCUAUAUCCACACAGAUUGUUUCUUAAUUUUUUUCAUAUGAAAUAUUAAAACCUCAUAUAUUUUUUUAAAAUUUUUCCAAGUUGACCCAGGUCAACCCGUGAAAUCCGGGUCUCGGCUCCUGGGCCGGGUUUGAUAACUAUGGGUGCAAUAAAAAUAUAACUUUAAAGAAUGCAAUUAAAAAAAAUAAAGUGACGUGACCGGUUAAAAAAAUAAAAACUAAAAAAAUGUACAGAACCUCAUUUUUAUUUUUAUUUUUGCUCAGGGAGCCUCUUUUAAAUAAUAUUGAUUUUUUUUGUUAUGUGUUUAAUUUUCGGAGUGGUUUUUUUGGUUCAUCUAUGGUUUUGUUUUUAUUUUUUAUAUAGAUAAAAUAUGUUUUUGAAAAUAAAAAAUGUUUAAAUUUAGAUGAUAUUUUUAAUGUGUGUAGUUUUACAUGUUAUUCUUUUUUUUUAUUCAAUCAAUUUAAUGUAUUAUUUUUCACGAUUCAAUAUAUUAAUCUACAUUUAUCUCUCGAUUUUUUAAGUUUUGUUUUUAGAUGUCAUAAAUAAUUUUUUAUUGAUUUAUUAGUGCACAUAAUUCUUAGUUUAUUUGAUUACUUAUGUGCAUCAACAUUUUGAUUUGUUAUAGUUUUUGAACUAUCAAAAUACAUUGAAAAAACCUGUAUAAAUAUUUUUUUAUAAAAAUAAAAAUAUUUAACUUACAGUAAAGCGGGACACGUAGCUAAUAAAUUCUAUUAAAUGAGUUAGCAAGGUAGAAAACAAACUUGUAAUAGAUUUGUGCACAUUGUCAUUUCACCAUAAGUUACAUUAGCUCUCAAAACUUUUACGUAGAAACUUAUAAUACUAGAACUAACCAAACAUACUACCAGAAAUGUACUAAUCUUGCAACAAAAUAAGAAUCAACACAUCAAAUUUCCUUAGUGCCUUUGAAACAUAAAAUGUAAAUUAUUAGGGCACAAUUAAUAAUAACUUAUAGGUAAUAAUUAAUCUUCAUCAAAUAUGCUAAAUAACAUAAAUCAACUUUGUCAAACAUAAUUAUUGUGAACAUUGAUAUUUUUUUUAGCCCUGUUUGUUUCAUGAAAAAUGGUUUUUUAGAAAUUAUUUUCCAAACUUUUCUGUGUUUAUUUGUCAUUAGAAAAAUUAAUCAACAAAAAAAACUUUCCAAUCAAAGAAAAAUUUAACUUUGUUUCUAGAAAAGUGUUUUUCUUUUAUUUUGGGUGGAAAACACUUUCUAGAAGUUGUGAAAAAUUUAGAAAUGUCUUGUUAUUUGCUGAUUAUAUCAAAUUUGAUCCUCAAACUUUUAAUUGUUAUAUAUUUUGUUUUGAUUUUUUUCUUUCAAUUUCAUCAUUUAGAAUUUGAUUUAAUUUGAUUUUUAUAUCAAUUUUGGUCUUUAUUUUUAUUAUUGUUAUUUGCUUUUCUCUUGUCAUUUUCUUAAUUGAAAUUUUUUUAUCUAUCAAAUCUAGUCCUUAUUUUUUUUAUUGUUAUUUAUUUUAUUUGAAAUAAUUUAUAAAAUUAUAUAUUUUUUUAAUUUCAUCAUCUUUCAAUGUUUUUAUUUGUUAGAUUUGAUCUCUAUUAUUUUGAUUGUUAUUUAUUUUAUUUGAGAUAAUUUAUGAAAUUAGAUUUUUUUAAUUUUAUUAUCAUUUAAAUUUUUAAUUUGUAAUAUUUGUUCCUUAUUAUUUUAAUAAACUUAAAAAAAAAUAAUUUAUUUUCCAGCUCAUUUUGCAUGAUAUAGUUAAAUACUAGAAAAUGUUUUUAAAUUUUUUUGUUUUAUGAUACUAUCAAAAAUCAAAAAAAUAAUUUACUUUUUAAAAAUUUAAUUUUCAAGAAAAUUACCUUUUUUAAAAAAAUAUAUGUUUUUAGCAAAGAAAGGGGUUAAUGUUAAAUUUUUUUAUAUAUGACAUGGGGGCAGAGUGCAAGCCAGCUAGCCGGAUAGUCUUUGGUGGAUGUUCUUUAUACGAUUUUUUUUAGAUGGAAAUCUGAGCUUUAUUGACCAUGUAUGUCUUGCCAAGUGGCUUCUUUUCUUUCCUUAACUGUCAUGUCUCAUUUGAUAAUUGGGAAUUCCUGUCAGGGCUUCUUUAUUUUAUUGUUAUAUUAGUUUGGUUUUGUGUUUUUUUAAUCAAGUUGGUGGGUCCAGAAAUUAUGAUGUCGUCAAGGUUCUUUCCUCGACUUGUCUCUAAUUCUUGAAUAUAUUAACAAAACUUUUAAAAUACGUAAAAAUUAAAUAUACUAUAAAUCAACAAACAAUUUAUUUGGAUUUAUUUUUUUAUAUAUAUAGACACACACACUGUAAAUCAAGACAUAAUUAACUAUGAACUUGCAUAGUUAUUUUACUAUAUAUUAAAACAUUUGGAAAAAACACUGGAGAUUUACUAUGAACACAAACACAUUGUUCUAUGAAAGACACUAUGUCAUAGAGUAUUUGCACUGUGGACGACACUGUAGCACCCUGGGAGCGUUCCUUUCCUUUGUUUUUAGUCAAGAAUUGCGGCUGGGGGUGUGACAUUCUUUGCCGAAAGCCGUUGGGUCUGCCUUUGGUAGCUGGACCUAACGCUGUUGGGUCUGGUUGACAAGUCAGACCCAAAACACUUCCAAAACAUGUCAAUAGCGUUGGGUCCUGCAUCCCAGCCAGACCCAACAGAGUAUUUGACUGUGGACACAGAGUGUUUGACUGUGGAUGACACUGUCUGUAGCGCCUGUCAGAGGCGUUAUCUUUUCUGUUUGUAAGUCAGAAAGGGUUGUUGGGUCGUUGCAGCAGGACCCAAUAGCUUUGGGUCCUGCUGGAACCAUUAGAGUUUGGUCUUGCCCUAGUAGGACCCAAGACUGUAAUUUUUUUUCCUUUUUCAUACGGGUAUGGCUGCGUAACCAGACCCAACAGCCAUACCCCAAUUAAAUUUCUUGGCCGUUACCUUCUCUAAUUUAAAUUUAUUUUUUAAAAUAAAUUGAUUGUACUGUGGACACCACUAUAGCACCUUCCCAGAUCGAUCCCAGCUUUAUCAUCUACACACGCACGCACAUGCACUUUUUUCCUUUGUCGACAAGGAAUUAAAGUUGAUCAAUGCAAGAAAGUAGUAAGAUCACUGACAUCGGCAUACGAAGAUUGUAAAAAAAAUUGAUUUCCUUUGGUGGAUGGAUUGGGAAUCCAUGUUAUCACAUAUGUGAGAAUUCAAUCCCGCAUGCCUCUGUACAUUGUAAAUAUAUAUCUUUUUCACUACAGUAUAACACCACCAUUGAAUAUUAAUGGAAGACCAUUGAUCAAUAAGGACGACUGGCUUCCAAACCCAGUAGCCAUACCUAAUUAAAUUUCUUUGUCGUUGCCUUCUCUGACUUAAAUUUAUUUCUUAAAAUAAAUUGAUGAUAUUUUUUUUUAUAUUGUAUCAAAGUUGUGUGAUGAUAAUUUUUUUUUCCAUUUCAAGUUGGGUUGAAUUUCCUAAUUAAAUCAUGUUUGAUUUUGCGUUUCAGAAAUUCUUUGAAAUUUUUUUGACAAUUUUUAAGUUUUUUUCUUUGCUUCAAAUUAAUAUUUUUGUUAUGUUUUUGUAUUUUUUUAAAAAAAUAUAUGUUGAGAUUUUGUCUGGCUGGGAUGUUAGACCAAGAAAUUUUUUAAUUUUUCAAUUUUUUUCUUUACUUCAAAAUAAUAUUUUCUUCAUGUUUUUGUAUUAUUUUUUAAAUAAUUUUUUUUAAAAAAUAUAUAUUGAUAUUGUGUCUGGUUGAGAGGUGAGAACCAAGAAAUUUAAAUUUUUUUAAUUUUUUCUUUAUUUUAAAUUAAUAUUCUUUUGAUAUUUUUGUAUUAUUUUUCAAAAAAUUAUACUGAAAUUGGGUCUGGCCGCGUAGCCAGAUCCAUGGCUGCGUUGGCCCCUGCCUUCCAGCAUGACCCAACAGCGUUGCCCACUACUCAUAAUAGGACUCAACGCUUAAUUGGACCCUGCUGCCUCCAUGCCCAACAACUUUUGCAACUAGGACCCAACAACGGUGGGCUCGGUCUCCGAGCAGGACCCAAUAUGCGUUGCCAGCCUGGGCGAUUGGGUCCUUUCCGCUGAAGGCACUUGACUGUGUAGCAAGCAUCGAAAACACAAGCUCAGUAGCAAUUCAUUUUUGCAACUAGACAGGCUAUAAACAAGCCUAUAAGCCCUUUUUUCUCUUAAAGAGAGAGAUUCAUACUUAUCAAUAUUACAAGGGAAAGAAAAGAUCCGAAACCGAAAAGGGAUUAUCUUGAUUUGAUUGCUUUCUAAAUAGGAUGUGCAUUUCUCCUAGAACCAGUUGGCUUACAGGCUUACAGGGAACCAAAAAUGCUUGGAAGUGACAAUUAGAUUUCUCUUAUUUAAAUUUAUUUUUCAAAAUAAAUUGAUGAGACUUUUAUUAUAUUGAUUAAAAGUUGGGUGAUGAUUUUUUUUUUCAUUUCAAGUUGGGUUGAAUUUUCUAAUUAAAUCAUGUUUGAUUUUGCGUUUCAAAAUUUUUUUGAAAUUUUUUGGAUAAUUUUUAUUUUUUUUUCUUUACUUCAAAUUAAUAUUUUUUUUUUAUGUUUUUGUAUUAUUUUUUAUAAAAAAAAUAUGUUGAGAUUGUCUCUGACUCGAAGCCAGACCCAAGAAAUUUUAAAAUUUCAAUUUUUUUCUUUACUUCAAAAUAAUAUUUUUUUUGAUGUUUUUGUAUUAUUUUUAAAAUAUAUUAUCUAAAAACAUAUAUUGAGAUUGUGUCUGGAUGAGAGGGAAGACCCAAGAAAUUUAAUUUUUUUUUUCUUUACUUCAAAUUAAUAUUCUUUUGAUACUUUGGUAUUAUGUUUUUAAAUAUCAUUUUAAAAACAAUUAUGUUAAGAUUAGGUCUGGUUGCGUCACCAGACCCAUGGCAGCAGUGGGCCCUGCCUACAAGCAGAACCCACCGCUACUAGGUCCUUCUGUCAAGCAUGACUCAAUGAUGUUGGGCCCUGCUGCCCAGCAGCGAUGGGCCACCCUCCAGGACCUAUUAGCUUUGGGUCUUGCGGCCAGCACGACCCAUCAAAAAGCAUUGGGUCUUGCUGGGGGCAGGACCCAAUAAGCCAAUACUGUAAUGUGUUUUUCUUUUCUCUUAUUUUUUUUCACAGGGUAAAGAGGAAAUAUUAUUAUUAUAUUAUUAUGUUAUUGUUAUUGUUAUUGUUAUUCUUAUCAUUAAUAAAUUCAAAGAAACAAAAUUAUUACGAUUGAAGAAAAACCAUAAAUUUUAUUUAAAGAGAUUAAAAAAUAUAAAAACUUGAGUCAGACAAGUUUAACAUUAUUAUUAGUAUUAUAAAUAUUAUUAUUUUUAUUAUAGGUAAUACUAUUAAUAUAAUAAUUAAUAAAUUUGAAAAAAAUAUCAUUAAUAUUGAAAAAUAACCAUGGAUUUGAUUUGAAUGUUAAAAUUAAAAAUUAUUAUUAUUAUUAUUAACUUGGGUUUGGCAUCCCCUUCUAAACUUGAGAAACUUGGGGCACGAAAGGGACACAUGAUCGAAGUUGCUUGGGAGAGGCAAGAGCGCGGAUUCAAGUCCCUUAGGUCUUGCAGCCGCGCCUGACCCACCAUAUUUGGGUUAGGUGUUUGGAGCAAAGCUUGGGUCUGGCUGCAAUGCCAGACCCAAGAGCGUUGAGUCUGGCUGAAAGGACGGACCCCAAGCUCAGGGGUCUUUCUUUUUAAAUAGACCCAAUGCUCUUGCGAGCUGGACCCAUUAAAGUUAAAACAUGCUGCCACCAGAGCCCAGCAGCAGUGGCCCUGCUGCCAGCCCCACCUGCCUAGCAAGACCCAAUGUUGUUGGGUCCUUCUGUUAAGCAUGACCCAAUGAUGUUGGGCCCAGAUGGGUACCCAGCUACUGGGUCAUUCUGCCGAGCAUGACCCAAUGAUGCUGUAACUUUAAUGCGUUCGGAUUGCAGCCAGAUCCAAUGCUCUUGGGUCUAACAUUAAUAAGGGGCGCAAAGCUCUUGGGUCUGAUGUUGCAGCCAGACCCACUUACUCUUUGAUAAGUUUAAUAUUGUUAUGAAUAUUAAAAAUAUUAUUAUUUGUAUUAGAAAUAUUCUUAUUUUUAUUAUAAUUAAUAUAGUAAUUAACAAAUUUGAAAAACAAAUUUAAUAUUGAAAAACAACUAUAGAUUUGAUUUAAAGGGUAAACUUAAAAAUUAUUAUUAUUAUUAUUAUUAUUAUUAUUAUUAUUAUCAUCAUUAAUAAAUUUUUUUAAAAAAUUAUUAUUGUGGAAGAAAAACCAUAAUUGUUUUGUGAAUAGAUUAAAAAAAAUAAAAACUUGGGUCAGACAAGUUAUAUAUUAUUAUUAAUAUUAUAAAUAUUUUUUUAAAAAAAACUAUAUUGAGAUUGUGUCUGGCUGAGUAGUGAGACCCAAGAAAUUUUAAAAUUUUUAUUUUUUUUCUUUACUUCAAAUUAAUAUUCUUUUUAUAUUUUUGUAUUAUUUCUAAAAAAAUUAUACUUAUUAUAUAUUAUAUUAUAUAUGUACAUAUUUUUAUUUUCUAUAUUAAAACGCGUUAUCUUUGUUGUUUGUAAGUAAAAAAUUACGGCGGAUUAAUGGAUCCUGCUACCACCAGGACCUAAUAGCGUGAGACCCUGUUGCGAGUAGGAUCCCAUUGGCGUGAGGUUCUAUUGCCUGCAAGAUCCCAUAGUGCUGGGUCCUUUAGGACCCAUUAGUGUUGGAUCCUGCAAGACCCAUCAGCUUUGGGUCCUGCGGCAAUCAAAACCCAUAAAAAAGUGUUGGUCUUGCCACCAGCAGAACCCAAUACUGUAAUGUGUUUUUCUUUUUUCUUAUUUUUUUCUUAAAGGGUAAAGAGGAAAUAUUAUUAUUAUAUUAUUGUUAUUGUUAUUGUUCUUUUUAUCAUUAAUAAAUUCAAAGAGAAAAAUGAUUACUAUUGAAGAAAAACCAUAAAUUUUAUUUGAAGAGAUUAAAAACAUAAAAACUUGGGUCAGGCAAGUUUAACAUUAUUAUUAAUAUUCUAAAUAUUAUUAUUUUUAUUAUAGUUAAUAUUAUUAGUAUAAUAAUUAAUAAAUUUGAAAACAAAUAUCAUUAAUAUUGAAAAACAACCAUAGAUUUGAUUUGAAGGGUAAAAUUAAAAAUUAUUAUUAUUAUCAUCAUUAAUAAAUUUGAAAAACAAUAUUAUUACUAUCAAAUAAAAAUAAUAAAUUUUAUUUAAAGGGAUUAAAAACUAUAAAAACUUGGGCCAAAUAAAUUUAAUAUUAUUAUUAAUAUUAUAAAUUUUAUUAAAUUCAUUAAUAUAUUAAAUUUGCAAUGAAUUUCAUUACUAUUUAAAAAAAACAUAGAUUUGAUUUGAAGGGUAAAAUCAAUUAUCAUCAUAAUCAUCAUCAUCAUCUACGCGGAGAAGACGGUUAUAAGUAGGAUUUGGGUGCGGCUCUGCAGCCAGACCCAGAGAUAUUGGUUAUGGCUGCACAACCACACCUUUAUUUAUUAGGUGUUGCUCCGCAGCUACACCCAAUAGAUAAACCUGAUUGGAUUGGGUCCUUCUGCCAACUUUUACACCCAAUAGCAGGACCUGAUUGGCUUCGAUCCUGUUGCCAGCAGCACCCAACACCUAUCAACGUUGGGUCCAGUACCAGUAAGACCCAAAAGCUUUGGGUCUGGCGAAACUAGACCCAUCGACGAUGGGUUCUGUUGACAGCUGAAUCUAUCAGCGUUGGGUCCUGUUAAUCAGCAAGGCCCAAAAGUUGUGGGUCUUUCUGUCAGACUCAAUGCUAUUGGAUCUGGCUUGCACUAGACCCAAGACACUUAAAACAAUUUCUACAUUUGACAAAAAAAUUCUUUUUGACACGCUGCGGAGCACAGACUAAUAUGUUAGAUAUCAAACAAUAGCGUGUGUACUGGAUUACUGUGGAAAUUAUUUUUUAUAUAAAAAUAUAAUAAAAUAAUAUUUUUUAUUUUUUAUAAAUUAUUUUUAAGAUUAAAAUUUAAAAUGAUUAAAAAAUAAAAAAUUGUUUUGAAAAAAACAAUUCAUAUUUUUAAAAACAUAGUUUAAAAAGCUACUAGAUGCCAUGUCCGCGCGAUACCGCGAGCUUGUGCAUUGUCGUGGGUUUGUGGAAAAAAUCAUAAAAAAUAAAAAAAAAUCAUAUGGAGAAAACUUGUUGCAAUCCACAAUGUUUUCAAGGAAAAAACUAUAAAGCUAAAUUCUCAACCAGCUUAAUAUUAAAAAAAUAAAAUCGACAAAGAUAAUUUUGAAAAAAAUCAUAACAAAAAAAAACGAAAUGAAAAAAAAUCAUGCAGGGAAACACUAUAGCAAAUAGUGUUUCCUGAGAAAAUCUACAGUUGUAAUUCUCAACCAUUUCAAUAUUAAAAUAAUAAAAUCGAUAAAGAUAAUUUUAAAAAAAAAUCAUAAAAAAAAAUCAUGUGGGGGAACACGGUAGCAAUCCACAGUGUUUUAAAGAAAAAAAACUAUGAAGUUAAAUUCUCAACCAGCUUAAUAUGAAAAAAAAAUCGACAAAGACAAUUCUGGAAAAAAAAUCAUAAAAAAGAACAAAAAAACGAUGUGCGGAAACACUGUAGCAAUCCACGAUAUUUUAAAGAAAAAAACUACAAAGCUAAAUUCUCAACUAGCGCAAUAUUAAAAAAAUAAAAUCGACAAAAACCAUUCUGAAAAGAAAAACACAAAAAAAAGAAAAAGAAAAGAAAGAAGAAGACAAUUUUGGAAAAAACAAAGCAAAAAAAAAUGAAAAAAAAUAGAAAAACAAACAUGCGGGGAAAGUUAAAGCUAAAUUCUCAACCAGCUCAAUAUUAAAAAAAAUUGACAAAGAUAAUUUAAAAAAAAAACAUGUGAGGAAGCACUGUAGCAAAAUAAAAACCUUGUGGGGAAACAUUGUAGCAAUCCAUAAUGUUUUUUUUAAAAAAAACUAUGAAGCAAAAUUUUCAACCAGCUCAAUUUAAAAAAAAAAUCAAAAAAUAUAAUUUUGAAAAAAAACACAAAAAAAACAAAAAAAAACAAAAAAAAAGACAAUCUUGGGGAAAAAAAGGAAAAAAAACAUGUAAAACCCAAAAAAAGGAAAAAAAUGAAAAUAAAUGUUGGGAAAAAUAAAAAAAACACAAAAAUAAAAUAAAAAGAAGACAAUCUUGGAAAAAAAAAACAUGUAAAACAAAUCAAAAAAAAUGAAAAAAAUAUGGGGACUUUCCCCACACAUUUUAGAGUAUUACUAGUUACAUGACCCGCGCGAUGAUGCGGGUUAAUUUUUUUUAUAUAUAAAUAAAAUUUAAAAAAAAACUAAGAUCUAAAAAUAUUAGGUUUUUCUGUAAAGCUAUAUCCAAGAGUUUUGGGUUUGACUGCAACGCCUGACGCAAAAAUAAUAUUUAUAAUUCUUUAUCCUUUGAAAAUGUUAUGUACAAGAUCAAAUGUAUCUUAUGUUUUGAGCAUAAUGAGUAAACGUAAAUCUAAUCCAUGUAAAAGUAAUAGAAAAAUAGUUAAUAAUAAUCUUAAGUACUGAAAAAUAACUAAAAUGUUUUUCUAAUCUAUGAAAGAAAAGAGCUAGUAAUUCAUGAUUAUUUAAAUGCUAGUUUUUAAUUAAAUAUUGAAAAUAAAAAUUUAAUUUGAUUAUAUUAUAUUCUACAUAAUAAUGAUGCUAUGAGUUGAAAGAAUUUUAAAUAAAAGAUCAAAAUAGAUUUUACAACUAAAAUUAAAUAUAUCUCUAUAUUUGAAGGAACAAAAAAUUUUUUUAGUAAUUCUAAUAUUAUUGAUCCAGUAGCUAUGUUUUUUUAUUUUAUUUCCUUUUCACUUUCUAGAACUGCAUUUGGACUUCCACCAUCAUUGCAUGGGUGGAGGGAGUACAUCAGCAGAAAUACGAGAUCCCAACAGGAAACAACUAAACAAAGAACAUAAAGAUCAAACUUGCAUUUCUCCGACAGAGAGAGAGAGAGAGAGGAUACACCCUUGCAUGGGUUUUGUUUUCUACAUAAAAUCCAUUCGUGUCAAGUUCACAACGUGCAACAAGAAAAUAUUCAUGUUGACAAGGGCUUCAAAACACAGAUUGAGAUUCUAAAGAACACUAGUCAUCCACAGUCAAAAGGGAUCACAAAUCAGUACCCUGUUCUCUUCCUUUUGCUAGAAAUCAGUAUUGAAUUUUGUCGAACGAAGACUGCAUACAAUUUUGAGGGGAAGAAAAAACAAAGCAGUGCUUCUUUGCGCCAUUGUCUCCUUAUCUGGUAGCUAUGGAGAAACUUCUUUAAAAUAGCAGUACUUUCUCCAUCUACAAGUUGAGAUGCCUAAAUUUUAAACCAAAAGCAACCUCUAUCCACUGGGGCUACUUCAAUGAUUUCCCUUUUGUGGUCAUUUGAUCUUGUACAUAACAUUUUCAAAGGAUAAAGAGUUUUGGGUUUGACUGCAACGCCUGACCCAAAAUUUUUUAAAAAAACUAAGAUCUAAAAAUAUUAGGUCUUGCAGGUUCUUUUAUUGCUUGAUUUCUCCAUCAAAUCGAACACAACUUGCACGAAACGGAUCCCCUACAGUUCCUCUACAACCCCAUGUGAACGUUGCAGGAUGAAUGACAACACGGCGUCACCGGGGACGGCGUGAAGAGGUCAAUGCAGGCAGCCUUUUCCUGCAGAUUUGACAACUCAGGGAGGCUACUUUGAACCAACGGUUGGGAUCCUUCCCAACAGAAUCAAGGCUGAAAUUUUUUCCCGGUAUAGACAAGAUUGCCCUCUUCCACCGCCUAUAAAUAGAGGCGGAGUUGAUGGCCUGAUGGAGGAGAAAAUCGAGUCCAAAGUUGACAAAAAAACCAGCCUCCUCCCUAGUUUUUUUUUUCUUUUUCUGCAACAAGUCUCUCUCUCUACACUCUCUCUCACCGUGCUCUCAGCGACUCCAAGCCACGCCGCCACCAGCUCGUCUUCCACCCUCUCCACCACACUUAUUCCUCUCCACCGAAAGCACCUCCUUUUUCCUCCACAACGGCAGCAGCCCAUCAACACCAUCAUUUUCAUUUUCUUUCUUCUCCAGUAUCGGCAACAGCAGCACCGACUCCUCCACAGACGCCGCCACCAGCUUCAGGGCGACUACUCGGACCACCUCCAACCUCACUCCAGGUCGGUGACAUCAACUGCUUCUCCCCCCCGCAAGGUUGCCUCCCGCUCCACUCCGCGGGCUGCAACUGCAAAGUUGCAUAUAGAACGUGAACUUACUGUUCACGUUCUGCACAUAAUUCAUUUCACUUGGGUCAAGCCAGUUCUGGCCCAGACCAAAUGUUUGGGCCGGGUCCGGCCCCCAAAAAGGAGAGAAAGAAAGUAUGUUGGGCCGAUAUCGGCCCAAUCUUUUUGGGGCCGAUAUCGGCCCACUGUUUCUGGGUUUAUGUCUGGCCCAGUCAUCUGGGCCGGCCCAGCCCACCUGUUUUAAUAAUAUUUAUUUAAUAUAUAAUAUUAUAUUAUAUAUUUCUUUUAAAAAAAACAAAAAAUUCCAAAAAAAUUUCAAAAAUCCUUUGAAAAAAAUUGUGAUUUUCUCAAAUAUUUUUUUUACCAAUUUUGCAUAAUAUCGGGUUGUAUAUUUACACUGUAAAAUACAAAUCCUGUAUUAAAAUACCUGGUUUUCUCUGAAAUAUUUCAAAAAAAAGAAAAUUAAAACAUUCUAAAAAAGAAAAAAUAUUUUAUUGCAUACGGCCAAAUCCUAAAAUUUUUCCAAGCAUAUUUUUCAUAUAAAAAAAUGAAAACAAAAAUUGCAUCUUUUUCAUGUUUAAAAAAUCCAAAAAUGGAUAUCGUAACCAAUUUAUGAUUAUCCACUAGGAUUUGGUCAACAUGUCAAAAACCUUUUUCUAAUUUUUUUAGGGUCCAGAUGUAGACUUUAAUAUUUAUGGGUGUAAAAUUACACGAUAAAAUACACCCUCAAGUAUUAAAGAUACAAGGUGUAAAAAUACGAUGCUAAAAUUCAGACUUUAAAACGGUUAGGAUUUAACCCAAUAAGGUAGAGACUUUCUCAUGAAACGAGAUCUGCCUUGAGCCUUAGAAAAGACCAACGAAUAGAAACCCAACUUGGAAAAAAACAAUCAAACAAUAAUGCAGCUUACCUUAGGUAGGGUGCACUAGGUGUGAUGCGUCUUCCCCUUGCACAACCAGUCCCUUACUCAGACUCUCGCAGACCAUAGGUUCCUAGUGACCAUAAUACUAGGUGGCGACUCCUGAAUCUUAAUCAUAAUUUUAUGAUUAAAUCCAAAAAAAUCUUCCUAACACACCUCACAUAGGAGGCACGACAGAAAGCCUUCUUUGUCGCCAGACGACAUCGCACCGGCGCUCGCGCACCCCGCGACAAAGAUAAUUUAAAAAAAAAACCAUAAUAAAAAAAAUUAUGUGGGGAAAGACUGUAACAAUCCACAGUUUAAAAAAAAAUAAAACUAAAUUUCUAAACAGCUUAAUAUAAAAAAAAAAAGAAAAAAAAAAAGAAGGUCUUCGGUGGCCAUUGAUAGCUAUGCGAUGAACUACUCAAAAUGCUAGAACAAUUGCAAAUCCCAGUUGCUAUGUAAUGGAACUUCCAGGCUAAGGCUCCUUUAAAUUACCUGCACGCCCGGCGUAGGAAAUUAUUAUUCUAAUUAUUCAACGACAACUUCAAGACAUGGCUGGCGUCGGGUGAUGACGAAGACAUUAUGACGUAGGUCUGCUGAAGUGGACCAAGUGGUAUUCGCAUUAUCACGUGCUUCUACAACUCUCCUCUUGCUUUUUUUUUUUAAUCUCCUUUUUUUUUGUUUUUGUUUGUGUUCUAGUUUUAUCCAUGGUUUGAUAAUUGUUUUGUGAGUUUGUUAUUAAAUGUAUUUUGUGCUUUUAUCUUUUUAAUAAAAUCUUUAUAUUUAUUGAUUAAAAAAAAUACUUAAUUUGUUUUUUUAAUUAGAAAAUUAUUCUCUUCUGGUUUUGCUGCAUUUGAAAAUGAAUUUUUCUAUCAAAAUUUUUUUUUCUAAUAUAAAUCAAUAAUCAUAUGUAAAUCAAAGUUGAAAUGAACGAACAAACAAACUAUGUACAUGGCAUCUUCCGUAGGAAGCUUAGGAAAGGAUGAAGGCCAAGAAUAAUGUAAAAUAAAAACCUAUGCCUCCACUACCAAUAAUGUAAAAAAAAUUAUUGAGAAAAAUAAAUCAUGAAAAUGUACUUCCAGCUCCAGUCAUCCAAAGCUUCUUAAGUCUUAGAAAAAAACAUUUAACACAAAUCUCGAUAUAAUUCAUAUGUUAAUUAAAUUCUCAAAGAUAUCGAGAGAAUUCUUGAUUAGAUUUUUAACGUAGUCUAUUUUCUAUCAAAUGUGACUUGAUAAUAAUCAUAUGCAUCAAAAUAAAUUCUCUUUAAAUAGUUAUUGGUUUUUUUCUUUUUUUUUAUGUUUUUUUUUUAUUUUUUCUAAAAUUAUCUUUAUUGAUUUUAUUUUUUUAAUAUUUAUUCGCAGUUAUAACACCAUCAAACAUAUUUAUUUUAUAAACUCGUGAUAAUGUGCUAGCAUGCUAUUUAGUAUCAAAUUAUAGUGUGUGUAUAGUAUUACUGUGGAGAUUAUUUUUUAAAAUAUUUUUAUAUGAAAAUAAUAUUUUUUAUUUUUAAAAAAUUAUUUUUAAUAUUAAAAUUUAAAAUGAUAGAAAAAAAUAUAAAAAAAUUAUUUUAAAAAAACAAUUUAUAUUUUUAAAAACACAGUUUAAAAAGCUAUUCCAAACAGCGCUGGAUCCACCACGCAGCUUGGGCUUACGUCCCUUUACGAAAGAUGAGAUUCACAAUAACAAGAGAAGAAGGGUUACUGCUACAAUUACAGGAAUAUUUGCUCUAAAGGUGAAGUUUCUCCAUCCAACCAGGUAGAAACAAAGAGAGUGGCACGAUGGCAUCAAUUUUAUUAGACGAGUGCUAUAAGUUUGGAGUUCACAAUUACUAUUUCUUCUAUUAGAAAACACAUUGCAAUGUAUGUAUAUUCUUUUUUAUGUUGAAAAUUUUUAACGAAGGGCGGGUUAACUAGUUAAUAGUCUCAUGUUCUUUAGAAAUUGAAGGGAUUAAACACUAAAGUAACUAACUUUCCUCGCCAAAAAAAAGGUAUGGUUUGAUUUUUUAACAUAUGAUUGAAAUUUAAGUUUUAAAUUUAAGUUUUAAUCGCCACUAGAUUGGUAGCCUGCAUGCCAUGUCACGCGCUAGCAGGAUUAAUUUUUUUUUCAUCGGAAGAAAAAAAUGCUUAGUCAUUUUAUAUUGGAUUAAUAUGAUUAAAACAAUAGGAAUGAUAAGCAUUUUCCUCUACGAAUGAGGAAAACCUCAUAACAAGUGAUGGAGAUUUGAGAACAACAAGCAACCAUGGAUUCCCAAGUUUCAAAUGGGUCACAGGAUUCACAUAAACUUAGCCAAUCCGGUUAUUUAUUCUUCGUAUCGAAAUACAGGACAUGAAAAUCCUUCAGCAACACACCUCUUAAUUACAUAUCAAUAACAGCAAAGACAUCCACAUCUUCACACACAUGCAACAAACACCUUACAUCGCACGCUUCUUAUAGCAGAAAGCCCAUAAAACCAGAUACAAGGAGCGCUUGCCCGCUUAAGCUCUGCGGCACACAUCUCCAUCGCAGUUCCAUCCUUCCUUUCCCUUUUCACUUCCAGUAUCUUCAUCUUCCUUCAACGCACAUUUCGGGUGAAGAUCAAAGUCACAUUGUUUGCAAUAGAAAGACCAACUAUGUCCUGUUUCACGACAGCCAUUGCAAACAUAUGCUUUGCGUUUAGUACGAAUCAGCUCAUGCUCAGUAUGAAGUUCGUGUUUCACUUUCUCUGGCCACCCCUUUUCCUUUUCCUCAAGCUCCUCCUCCAAUUGCUUUAGAUGUUCCUCGGUAAAUGGAAAAGCAUCUGCCCCGUAAGCUGUCAAGUGCUUCCGAGCUUCCUUGGUAAUGGUCCGGCCACUUGGGCCAAUCGCUACAGCUGCAGGAAUGCCUUGAAUUUUGAAUUUCCGACUCAGGAUUUGUUUCCUUCCAUCAACAAAUGGAAGGGCUAACCAAGGCAUUUCAGAAUAGAACUCGUCAAAGGUGGAUUGAUCGCUGUCGCUUGAGAUGAAGAUCACCUCGAAUGCGUUGUCUUUUCCUUUAAUUGUGUGGUAUGCUUCAAUUAGCUUGGGUAAAAAGGCACGACAUGGAGGGCACCAUUGAGCUGAGAAGUAAAGAAGAAUGUUCUUUCCAACUAGUUCAGACACUGGGACCUAAUCAAGAACAAACCACUUGAAUGAUAAAAAAAACCUUUGCUAAUGAAUUCAAUUAGUGAUGAUAUGAAAGUUAUUGAAAGUAAUGCAAUAACAACAUGCGAG